CGGCAAGUAGGUGAACAACACAAGAUACUAGAUCACACUAUAUCACACGAUAUAUCAAAAGCUGCAAGUAUGAACGUGUGGAUAUAGAAGGUAUGCUUGAAUGAUUAAUCUUGUACAAGAAAUAGCCAACACAAUAUAAUGAGCACAAACAAUAUGCAAUGUAUGUAUGCUCAAGUAACACAGGUAAACCACAAGUAAGGAGUUAGGGUUAAGGAUAACCAAGGUCACUGAGACGAAGAUGUAUCCCGAUGUUCACUUCCUUGGAGGGAAGCUAGUCACCGUUAGAGAGGUGGAUGUUACCACCAAGGCACACCAACGCCACGAAGGCUCACCCUAUUCUCCCUUUGAGAUAAUACCACGAAGGCGUUUCUCAACCACUAGUGGUAAGCCUUUGAGGUCGCUUCCAAACCCUCACAAACUUUUUCGGGGGGUAAUCACACGGAUUGAUUCCUCUCCGAAGAACUCCUACCGCCUAGGAGUCUCCAACCUCCAAGAGUAACAAGAUCACGGGGAAUGCUCAAAACUUGCUCAAAUAUCAAAUAGCUUGGGUUGAGAGGAGGAGAGGGAGACGAUCUAUAUUUUGAUUGGAACAACUCUCAAAGGGGCUCACAAAUGCUCUUGGGAUAUAAGAUUUGGUGUGAGCAAAUGUGUGUGAGGUAGAAGUGUGUUCUUAUGAGGAUAAGGCUGUGUUGGGCUACCCUCUCAAGAAGUGGGAGGGGGGGUAUUUAUAGUGGGGAGAGAAAAACAGCCGUUGGGGACACUUUAAGUCACACAAGGUCCGGACGUCCGACAGUUUCCGGAAGUCCGGGCGUCCGCGAGGGGUCGGACGUCCGACAGGGGUCGGUCGUCUGAGGCUUGUAGAUAUCACUAAAAAUACUGUGAAUUGAACAGCGACCGGACGUCCGGAGAGGACCGGAAAUCCGAGUUUUUCGACUCAACUUCUUCUGGUGGGAGGUUCCGGAUUUCCGAAAGGGGACGGACGUCCGGCCCUCGGACGUCCGGAGGGAGCCGGAAGUCCGAGUUAUAGAUCUCACAUACUACUGGUGCACGGCUCCGGAUUUCCGAAGCUGGUCGGUCGUCCGGCCCUCGGAUGUCCGGAGUGAGCCGGAAAUCCGAGUUAUAGAGCUCAAUUUCUUCUGGUGCAGAGCUCCAGAUUUCCGUAGCAUGUCGGUCGUCCGACCCUUAACCGGUCCUCGGACGUCUGGAGGGACCCGAAAGUCCGAGGCAGUUGACCUGUUUUGAGAUAGGAGCAAAGUAGAGAAUAUGUGGUAUUGAGAAGAACAGUGGAGAUGUAGUUUGAGCAAGUUCAUCGCAAAACCUGUGAUCCCCUCUUAAUAGUGCGGGAUCCCUAAGGACUCAAGAAUCAUAAAAGGGUACUGAUGAUCCAUACUUGAGUGUAUACUUUUAUUCGCUGAUCAUCACUCCGCACAACUAACGUCAAAGGAACUGAUACCUUUGAGUUAGCCCUUUCACUUGAGCUUGAUGUUGUUGUUCCUUCUUGGCUCAAGUUGAAAGCAAGACAUGAUGAAGUCUUCAAGUAGCUCUCCCAUGCACAAUGUGGAAAGCCUAGCUUAUGUAUUCAUCUUCAUUUGUCCACCAUGUGAACAUCCACAAGAAUCAAGCAUGUAGUGCUCAGGAAUGCUUAUCUUGAUCUUGUCCUUGUUAGCACAUGAGAGCUUGUCCUUAUCAACACAUGAUCAUUAACAAUAGUUUCAAUGAUAUAUUCGUGCUGAUCCACUUGAAACUUGCACACCACAAUCUUGAGGACGAUCGCCACUUGACGUCAUCCUUCAUGGGUUGUAUGGGAUCUUCCUUUUGACGCAAGCCCAUGGAAGCACACCUAACCCCCACAUAGGACUCUCACAAAGACCAUGGGUUAGUACACAAACACGUAAUGGACAAUGCUUACCAUAGCAUGGGAUCACUUGAUCCCUCUCGGUACAUCUUAUACGCUUUGUGUGUUGAUCAUCUUGAUUUACUCUUUGUCUGAGAUCUUGAUCAACCUAGUGUCUCUAUGACCAUUCUUUGGAUAAUACCUUGAAUACCAUCUUGGUCAUUGUCAUGGGUAUAAGUCUGACAGUAGAUGUGUAGGGUACGAAAGGGUGGGCAGAGCCUUAGCUACGGCGAGGUUGUAUGAGUUCAGGCCCCUCUGCGGUGGAGGUAAUAGCCCUACUCUCAGUGCUCUAGGAGCUUGUUGUCGAGUGGAAUAUAGAAUACAGUGAUUUGCUAACCCCUGCACCAGUGGGGGAGGGUGGCUUAUAUAGAGUGUGCUGCCCUCCACAACGGUUCGGUGCACAGGGGUGGAGUAGUGGCGAAUAAAUGCCUACGUUACAGGUAACGUAUGUCUUAAAUGCUAAUAAAGGCACAUGGAAACGUAUGACCGUUUCCCUCCAAGGGGGUUACGAUGCACAGAGUGGAAUCCAGUCGGUUAGUUUGAUAUUCUCCGAAUGCUCGUCUCCGACUGGAUGGUCGAGGAUCUGUUACAAACUGGAUGAUGGGAAUUCCUUAGUUCAGUUGGAACUGACUAAGGGCCUUGUCCCUUAUGAGGGGUAGUCCUUGGGUAGGACCUACAGGGCAGGCCUAUGACCCUACCCUAGGACUAUAACCCCAUCAUUAGUCCCCAAAUGGAUUGGGGUUGGAACGACGAAGCGAUGCUUGAAGUUUGGAUCCGACUGGUACGGAUGUGACUUUGGCGUUGCUUGCCUCGAUNNNNNNNNNNAUGGCCAGAGCCUUAGCUACGACGAGGUUGUAUGAGUUCAGGCCCAACAGAUGGACUUCAAGAAGUGCCUAUGGACAAAUCCUAUAAAUANNNNNNNNNNCGACUGGAUGUUGGGAACUCCUUAGUUCAGUCGGAACUGACUAAGGGCCUUGUCCCUUAUGAGGGGUAGUCCUUGGGUAGGACCUAUAGCGCAGGCCUAUGACCCUACCGUAGGACUAUAACCCCAUCAGUCAUCAUAUAAACUCCUUGAANNNNNNNNNNNNNNNNNNNNNNNNNNNNNNNNNNNNNNNNNNNNNNNNNNNNNNNNNNNNNNNNNNNNNNNNNNNNNNNNNNNNNNNNNNNNNNNNNNNNCGAGUUCCCCGUAACAGGACUCCGGGGUUCCCAAAAUGUUUGGAUCGCGGCGGGAACCAAAAUCAGUGAGUAAUAGCUUACUAACCUCGCCAGAAUAGGCUGCGUGUUUUGACGAGUUCCACGUAACCGGACUCGUGGGUUACUGAAACAUUUGUAUUGCAGCGGGACCCAAAAUCAAUGAGUAAUAGCACACAAAACUAGCCACAAUAGGCCAAAAUUGCGAUUUUUGACGAGUUCCCCGUAAGCGAACUUCGGGGUUCCCGAAACGUUCGGAUCACAACGGGACCCAAAAUCAGUGACUAAUAGCAUACAAAACUAGCGGGAAUAGGCCAAAACUACGAGUUUUCAUGAGUUCCACGUAAUAGGACCCCGGGGUUCCCGAAAUGUUCGGAUCACAGCGGGAGCCAAAAUAAGUGAGUAAUAGCAUACAAAACUGCCCAAAAUAGGCCAAAACUGUGAUUUUUGACGAGUUACCCGUAACCGGACCUCGGAGUUCCCGAAACAUUCGGAUCACAAUGGGACCCAAAAUUAGUGACUAAUAGCAUACAAAACUGGCGGGAAUAGACCAAAACUACGAGUUUUCAUGAGUUCCACGUAAUCGGACCCCGGGGUUCUCAAAACGUUCGGAUCACAGCGGGACCCAAAAUCAGUGAGUAAUGGCAUACAAUACUGGCCAAAAUAGACCAAACUGCGAGUUUUGACCAGUUCCCCGUAACCGGACCCCGGGGUUCCCGAAACGUUUGGAUCGCAAUGGGAACCAAAAUUAGUNNNNNNNNNNNNNNNNNNNNNNNNNNNNNNNNNNNNNNNNNNNNNNNNNNNNNNNNNNNNNNNNNNNNNNNNNNNNNNNNNNNNNNNNNNNNNNNNNNNNCCCGGGUCUACUUCACAUCAUAUUUUCAGCCUUACACUUUUACUUUGUUGCACUUUCCGCCUUCAAAUCUCACCUUGCAAUCAAUCGUGAAGGGAUUGACAACCCCUUUGUAGCGUUGGGUUCAAGUUUGUUGUUUUUGCGCAGGUACGGUGGAGACUUGGCUUGAUACUCCUACUGGAUUGAUACCUUGGUUCUAAAACUGAGGGAAAUACUUACUGCUACUGUGCUGCAUCACCCUUUCCUCUUCAAGGGAAAAACCAACGCAAGCUCAAGAGGUAGCAAGAAAAAUUUCUAGUGCCGUUGACGGGGAGUAUCAAGUCAAGAAUAGUCUCCCGUCAACGUGCCAAUUUCUGGCUCCGUUGUCGGGGAGGAUCAAGUCAAGAAUAGUCUCCCGUCAAUGUGCCAAUUUCUGGCGCCGUUGCCGGGGACUAUUCUAAGUGAAGCUUAUCCAAGUAACUGUCGAAACUCAUCUUGCAUUUACUUUUUUGCCUUUUGCCUCUCGUUUUCGUCUCCCCCACUUCUGAAAAACAAAAAUUUACAAAAAAAUUUGCCUUUUUCGUUUGCCUUUCCUUUGCUUGUGUGCUAUGUGCCUUCAAUAUGCUUGCAUCUUCGCUUGUUGAAAAUCUAGUGAUAUGGAUCCUCAUCAACUUGCUAGUCUUUUAAAGAGAUCCAAUUAUGUUGAACCAAUUGCUAGUGAGUUGAGUGCACUUGACUAUCUUUAUGGAGUUUUGCUUGAGAUGAGUGAAUCUGAAAAUCGUGAUGAAGAAAUUUACGAAGUGAUUCACGAGGGCUCCUUGAAUGAAAAGCAUGAUUGCAAUGGUUUCACUAUAAAUCCUAUUAGUGUCAAUCAUGCUAAAAAUAUGCAAAACCCUAAGCUUGGGGAUGCUAGUUCUACUAUGUCCACUACUUGUUGCAAUGAUCGUGAUUGGGGUGAUGAUUUUUCUUAUGAUCUUAAAAUUUUGUUUAAGCCUCAUGAUGAAUAUUAUAUUUGCAAUAAUAUUGAAAGUGGGUUUGGAGAAGUCAUGACUUUAGUUGAUGAUAGUCCCACUAUUUUUGAAGAGCGUCAACUUUGCAUGCAUGUGGAUCAUGAAAAGAAUAUCCUAUGUGAUAGCUACAUUGUUGAAUUUGAUUAUGAUCCCACAUGCAAUUAUGAGAGAGUAAAAUAUUGUGGUAGAAACUUUCAUGUUACCAAAUUACCUCUCGUUAUGUUGAGAUUGAUAUUGUNNNNNNNNNNNNNNNNNNNNNNNNNNNNNNNNNNNNNNNNNNNNNNNNNNNNNNNNNNNNNNNNNNNNNNNNNNNNNNNNNNNNNNNNNNNNNNNNNNNNGCAAUACGAAUGUUUCAGUAACCCACGGGUCCGGUUACGUGGAACUCGACAAAACACACAGCCUAUUCUGGCGAGUUUAGUAAGCUAUUACUCACUGAUUUUGGUUCCCGCUGCGAUCCAAANNNNNNNNNNNNNNNNNNNNNNNNNNNNNNNNNNNNNNNNNNNNNNNNNNNNNNNNNNNNNNNNNNNNNNNNNNNNNNNNNNNNNNNNNNNNNNNNNNNNNNNNNNNNNNNNNNNNNNNNNNNNNNNNNNNNNNNNNNNNNNNNNNNNNNNNNNNNNNNNNNNNNNNNNNNNNNNNNNNNNNNNGGUCCCGUUCUGAUCCGAACGUUUCGAGAACCCCGCGGUCCGAUUACAUGGAACUCAUGAAAACUCGCAGUUUUGGCCUAUUCACGCCAGUUUUGUAUGCUAUUAGUCACUGGUUUUGGGUCCCGUUGUGAUCCGAACAUUUCGGGAACCCCGAAGUUCGCUUACGGGGAACUCAUAAAAAAUCCCGGUUUUGGCCUAUUGUGGCCAGUUUUAGAUGCUAGUACUCAUUGAUCUUGGGUCCCGCUGCAAUACGAAUGUUUCAGGAACCCAGGGGUCCNNNNNNNNNNGUAAAAAAUCCCAGUUUUGGCCUAUUGUGGCCGGUUUUAGAUGCUAGUACUCAUUGAUCUUGGGUCCCGCUGCGAUACGAAUGUUUCAGGAACCCAGGGGUCCGGUUACGUGGAACUCGUCAAAACAUGCAGUUUUGGCCUAUUCUGGCGAGUUUAGUAAGGUAUUACUCAUUGAUUUUGGUUCCCGCUUCGAUCCGAACGUCUUGGGAACUCCGGGGUCCUGUUACGUGGACUCGCCAAAACUCGCAGUUUUGAUCUAUUCUGGCCAAUUUUGUAUGCUAUUACNNNNNNNNNNCUGGCCUAUUCUGGCGAGUUUAGUAAGGUAUUACUCAUUGCUUUUGGUUCCCGCUUCGAUACGAACGUCUUGGGAACCCCGGGGUCCUGUUACGGGGACUCGUCAAAACCCGCAGAUUUGGUCUAUUCUGGCCAAUUUUGUAUGCUAUUACUCACUGAUUUUAGCUCCCNNNNNNNNNNNNNNNNNNNNNNNNNNNNNNNNNNNNNNNNNNNNNNNNNNNNNNNNNNNNNNNNNNNNNNNNNNNNNNNNNNNNNNNNNNNNNNNNNNNNCUCCCACUCAAAAAGUACAUCUCUCUAGUCAUUUGAGUGGUUCAUGAUCCACUUACACUAGCUCAAGUCCGAUCAUCACGUCAGUUGAGUAUAGUUUCAGUGGUAAGCAUCCCUAUGCUAAUCAUAUCAUCUAUAUGAUUCAUGAUCGNNNNNNNNNNNNNNNNNNNNNNNNNNNNNNNNNNNNNNNNNNNNNNNNNNNNNNNNNNNNNNNNNNNNNNNNNNNNNNNNNNNNNNNNNNNNNNNNNNNNNNNNNNNNNNNNNNNNNNNNNNNNNNNNNNNNNUGUCUGCACAUGCUAGGCUCGUCAAGCUUAACCCGAGUUUCCGCGUGUGCAACUGUUUUGCACCCGUUGUAUGUGAACGUUGAGUCUAUCACACCCGAUCAUCACGUGGUGUCUCGAAACGACGAACUGUAGCAACGGUGCACAGUCGGGGAGAACACAAUUUUGUCUUGAAAUUUUAGUGAGAGAUCGCCUCAUAAUGCUACCGUCGUUCUAAGCAAAAUAAGGUGCAUAAAAGUAUUAACAUCACAUGCAAUUCAUAAGUGGCAUGAUAUGGCCAUCAUCACGUGCUUCUUGAUCUCCAUCACCAAAGCACCGACACGAUCUUCUUGUCACCGGCGCCACGCCAUGAUCUCCAUCAACGUGUUGCCAUCGAGGUUGUCGUGCUACUCAUGCUAUUACUACUAAAGCUACAUCCUAGCAAAAUAGUAAAUGCAUCUGCAAGCACAAACAUUAGUAUAAAGACAACCCUAUGGCUCCUGCCGGUUGCCGUACCAUCGACGUGCANNNNNNNNNNNNNNNNNNNNNNNNNNNNNNNNNNNNNNNNNNNNNNNNNNNNNNNNNNNNNNNNNNNNNNNNNNNNNNNNNNNNNNNNNNNNNNNNNNNNCAUGAGCCUCAAUGAGGUUCUGCUACUCAUGUAAUUGUCAGUUGUCUUGACAUCCACAUGAGCCUCAAUGAGGGUCUGCUACUCAUGUAAUUGUCAGUGGUCUUGACAUCCACAUGAGCCUCAAUGAGGGUCUGCUGAGUCCCCGAGUGUAUCUGUAGGAUACGAUCGAAGGAAGCUUUCUUAUUUAAGCGAUUCUUGAUCGCAGCUAAAUCCCCGAGUGCGACGUUUAGUGCACACGCGGAGAAAGUUAGUACUUAGGCGAUUCUUGAUCACAGCUAAGUCCCCGAGUGCGACGUUUAGUGCACACUCGGANNNNNNNNNNUUAAGUCCUCGAGUGCGACGGUUAGUGCACGCUCGAAGAAAAUUUGUACUUAGGCGAUUCUUGAUCGCAGCUAAGUUUUUUUUUUGAGACCGGAGUCUACGACCGCGGAAGAAUUUUGAAUCUGCAAAAACAAUCUGCUUUGUAUUAUUUCACCAAUACUUGUUCUUUACAUAGCUUCAGUCGACGGUCACGUGUAGAAGCGCUUCAGGAGAUCUCCGUUCCAUGCUCGCGGCUCAUCUGUUUCCCUGUCGAUGUUGUAGAGUCUGUAUGCUCNNNNNNNNNNNNNNNNNNNNNNNNNNNNNNNNNNNNNNNNNNNNNNNNNNNNNNNNNNNNNNNNNNNNNNNNNNNNNNNNNNNNNNNNNNNNNNNNNNNNUAGUCACUGAUUUUGGGUCCCAUUGUGAUCCGAACGUUUCGGGAACCCGAGGUCCGGUUACGGGGACCUCGUAAAAAAUAGCAGUUUUGGCCUAUUUUGGCCAGUUUUGUAUGCUAUUACUCACCGAUUAUGGGUCCCGGUGUGAUCCGAACGUUUCGAGAACCCCGGGGUCCGAUUACGUGGAACUCAUGAAAACUCGUAGUUCUGGCCUAUUCCCGCCAGUUUUGUAUGCUAUUAGUCACUGAUUUUGGGUCCCGUUGUGAUCCGAACGUUUCGGGAACCCCGAAGUUCGGUUACGGGUAACUCGUCAAAAAUCGCAGUUUUGGCCUAUUGUGGCUAGUUUUGUAUUCUAUUACUCACUGAUUUUGUUUUCCGCUGCAAUACGAAUGUUUCAGUAACCCACGGGUCCGGUUACGUGGAACUCGUCAAAACACGCAGCCUAUUCUGGCGAGUUUAGUAAGCUAUUACUUACUGAUUUUGGUUCCCGCAGCGAUCCAAACAUUUCGGGAACCCCGGGAUCCUGUUACGGGGAAGUCGUCAAAACUCCCAGUUUUGGUCUAUUCUGGCCAGUUUUGCAUGCUAUUACUCACUAAUUUUGGCUCCCGUUGCGAUCCGAACGUUUCGAGAACCCCGGGGUCGGAUUACGUGGAACUCAUGAAAACUCGCAGUUUUGGCCUAUUUCGGCCAGUUUUGUAUGCUAUUACUCACUGAUUUUGGUUCCCAUUGCGAUCCAAACAUUUCAGGAACCCCGGGGUCCGGUUGUGAUUUUGGCUAUUACGUGGAACUCGUCAAAACACGCAGUUUUGGCCUAUUCUGGCGAGUNNNNNNNNNNUGUUUCGAGAACCCUAUGAUCCGGUUACGGGGAACUCGUCAAAAAACGCAGUUUUGGUCUAUUGUGGCCAGUUUUGUAUGCUAUUACUCACAGAUUUUGUAUCCCGCUGUGAUCCGAAUGUUUCAGGAACCCAGGGGUCCGGUUACGUGGAACUCGUAAAAACACGCAGUUUUGGCCUAUUCUGGCGAGUUUAGUAAGCUAUUACUCAUUGAUUUUGGUUCCCGCUUCGUUCCAAACGUCUUGGGAACCCCGGGGUCAUGUUACGGGGAGUCGUCAAAACUCGCAGUUUUGGUCUAUUCUGGCCAGUUUUGUAUGCUAUUAGUCACUGAUUUUAGCUCCCUCUGCGAUCCGAAUGUUUCGGGAACCCCAGGUCCGGUUACGAGGAACUCGUCAAAACUCACAGUUUUGGCCUAUUUCGGCCAGUUUUGUAUGCUAUUACUCAAUGAUAUAGGUUCCCCCUGUGAUCCAAACGUUUCGGGAACCCCGGGGUCCGGUUAAGGGGAACUUGUCAAAACUCGCAGUUUUGGUCUCUUUUGGCCAGUUUUGUAUGCUAUUACUCACUGAUUUUGGGUCCCGCUCUGAUCCGAACGUUUCGAGAACCCCGCGGUCCGAUUACGUGGAACUCAUGAAAACUCGCAGUUUUGGCCUAUUCCCGCUAUUUUUGUAUGCUAUUAGUCACUGAUUUUCGGUCCCAUUGUGAUCCGAACGUUUCGGGAACCCCGGGGUCCGGUUACGGGGAACUCGUCAAAACUNNNNNNNNNNNNNNNNNNNNNNNNNNNNNNNNNNNNNNNNNNNNNNNNNNNNNNNNNNNNNNNNNNNNNNNNNNNNNNNNNNNNNNNNNNNNNNNNNNNNCGGGGAACUCGUCAAAACUCGCAGUUUGGUCUAUUUUGGCCAGUUUUGGAUGGUAUUACUCACAGAUUUUGGGUCCCGCUGUGAGCCGAACGUUUCGGGAACCCCGGGGUCCNNNNNNNNNNGAUGCUAUUACUCACUGAUUUUGGGUCCCGCUGUGAGCCGAACGUUUCGGGAACCCCGGGGUCCGAUCACGUGGAACUCACGAAAACUCGUAGUUUUGGCCUAUUCCCGCUAGUUUUGUAUGCUAUUAGUCACUGAUUUUGGGUCCCGUUGUGAUCCGAACGUUUCGGGAACCCCGAAGUUCGCUUACGGGGAACUCGUCAAAAAUCGCAGUUUUGGCCUAUUGUGGCCAGUUUUGUAUGCUAUUACUCACUGAUUUUGGGUCCCGCUGCCAUACGAAUGUUUCAGGAACCCGGGGGUCUGGUUACGUGGAAAUCUUCAAAACACGCAAUUUUGGCCUAUUCUAGCGAGUUUAGUAAGCUAUUACUCAUUGAUUUUGNNNNNNNNNNNNNNNNNNNNNNNNNNNNNNNNNNNNNNNNNNNNNNNNNNNNNNNNNNNNNNNNNNNNNNNNNNNNNNNNNNNNNNNNNNNNNNNNNNNNNNNNNNNNNNNNNNNNNNNNNNNNNNNNNNNNNNNNNNNNNNNNNNNNNNNNNNNNNNNNNNNNNNNNNNNNNNNNNNNNNNNNNNNNNNNNNNNNNNNNNNNNNNNNNNNNNNNNNNNNNNUUGGCUCCCGCCGCGAUCCGAACAUUUCGGAAACCCUAGGUUCCGGUUACGGGGAACUCGUCAAAACUCAUAGUUUUGGCCUAUUUCGGCCAGUUUUGUAUGCUAUUCUCAUCAGUUUUGUAUGGUAUUAGUCACUAAUUUUGGGUCCCANNNNNNNNNNNNNNNNNNNNNNNNNNNNNNNNNNNNNNNNNNNNNNNNNNNNNNNNNNNNNNNNNNNNNNNNNNNNNNNNNNNNNNNNNNNNNNNNNNNNAAAAAGUCGUAAAAAAUAUGUUUUCUGUUAUUUUUGGGAGAGGCACGGAUUUGCCUUCGCAAAAGGAACGGUCGUGCCUCUUGAAAACAGAAAAAAAAAUUGCAAGAGACACGGUUUUGGUUUCUCGAGAGGCACAAUUCUUCGCGAGAGGCACGACCGAGCCUCUGGGAAAGGGAAAAAAUAACACAUUUCCUAUUUUUUUCAUGAGAGGCAUGAUUUUUUUUGUGCAAGAGGCAUACUUUUGCCUUCGUGAGAGGCACCCGUGCCUCUCGAAAAGAGAAAAUAUUUUUUUUUGCGAGAGGCAUGGUUUUGUUUUAACGGGAUGCACGGUUUUGUCUUCAUGAGAAGCAUGGUCGUGCCUGUCGGAAAGGAAAAGAACGUGUUUUCUGGGGUUUUUUCCUAUCGUGAGAGGAACAGUUUUUUUGAUCCGUUUUUUUUUUGUGAAAACAAGUUCAUCAAAACCUAUCAACAUGAGAUCUAGUUUUGAAGAUAUCAAUGCGAGAAAUUCAAUGAUGAAAACGAUUCGAGAUUUGGAUGCACAAUUUAAGAGAUAAAACGUUUUAAAAAUACAAAUCUACGAAAAAGGGAAAACUCUCAGGUUGCGACAAGUGACACGCAUGCAGUACACCACUUGUCGCAACCUAAGAAAGUGGAAGUGAUCUUUAAAAGGAGUACUCCCUUAGUGAUUUCGGUGCUCGCCGAAACGUGUGUAUCUCGCCUUGGAGGCUGCUUACUAUGGUAUGCUCGGUUGUUCUGCGGCCAAUUACCCCGUUUUCUAUGUAGGAUAUAAAUCUUCAUAUGUAAAUAUUAUCCAAAAAUAACAAUACACUAUUUACAAACUGAUUUUUAACCAAAAACAUAGGGAAGGCCCUGUACAGUGUCAUUUUUAAUUAAAUAAUCGGGGAUAAUGGUGUACAAUGGAGGUUACAUGGGGUUAGUGUUACAUGAUUAUUUUAUAAAACAUUAGCAUUGAAAAAUAUUCAUACAUUCCAUAAGUAACUAAUCAAAUAUAAAUUGUUCUAUCUUAGAAAAGUAUGACCUUUUUCUGGAAAUACUCAUGCAUACGGAAUACAUUUUCUAGAAUUACUCGUGCGUACGAAAAUAAAAAUUCAUGCAUUUCAACAAAUAUGUACAUCUUGAAAAAGAACUCAUGCAUACGGAUUUUUUUCCUCAUUUUUUCUUAAUAGUGGUGUUCAUGCAUGUAAAAAAUAAAGGCGAUGGAAAUACAAAUAUGAACCAAUGAAUUCUUAGUUAAUCAAAAGAAGAGGAAAAAUCUAGAAAAAACUCAGUAAAACACAACGCUAGUGAGCCAACCUGUAUGAUCUUGAGGGGUCAUCUUGCUCCUACAUUCUCCGCAAUGGGUGAAAAAUAGGAAUUUAUCAUUUUAUUUGACUAACAAGAGGAGACGUUUUCAUUUGACCCUUGAAUACAACUAUAGGCCCGUGACACAUUUUUCUACUAACAUAUUUUUGGUAAAAUUGACAUCCCAACCUGUAGAACUGGAUUAUUGAUCGCCAUAACACUAGUUUUACUGUCGUUUUGGCCUAUGUGGCGUCAUUUCAGUUGUUUUGUUACACAAAUAUUCCCUGGUAGAUGACAUCUAAUCUCUCAUGUUCGAUCGGACAAUCACAGUUGUCUCGAUAAUUCUUUGUGGCGUCAAUUGAGGUGAUUAUGUCAUUAUUGCGGUAUGCUAUUGUUGGUUGCAUUUGUUUCAUUCGGUAAUUUCAUUCCCAAACUUGUGUGUUUCUUAUUUGUAGGAUUUCAUUGGGGUUUUAAGUUUCGACUUUGGUUUAUCUCAAACAUUGGCAACAACAUUGUGUCAGUCAAUACUUGGGCAAACAAGAGCGGGUGACACACAAGAUGGGGACAAUGACAUCGAAAAGAUCUCAACGAAAGCAACUAACGAGCACGAGGGAAGAGUUAAAUUAAAAUCAUGGAGAAAUCAAUUCAACAUCUCAGAGAAACCCUUCUUGUUUUGUUGUUGCCACUAGAUGUUGCUUGUUGAUAACUAUGACCUAUUGCUUCCUUGUUGACACUACUUCAUGUAUAUCUAAUUUUUUUAAUUAAGUAAUUUAUUAUAAUCACAUCUAAGUUGCCAUAUGGUCUUUUCAAAGUUGUGAGGUCAUCAAGUGGUCAAUGUUAGAAGAUGUGAUGACAUAUGCAUAUCUUUUAAUCAUUUUAUCUUCUAUGAUCAUGGCUUCACCAUCAAGGAAUAAUAACCCAACGAAGCACCAACAGAUGGAAUACAUUAAAAGCGAAAGUAACUUUUUGUGAAGACACAAAACAACCCCCCCCCCCCUAAUAACGAGAUAAAAAUCCUAGUUGUCAUUGAGGCCCCGUUUGAUUCUAAAAACUCUGAUGGAAUAGAAUCAUCUAGAUUUUUUCGAUUCUCUAUGUUUUGAUUCUUAAGAUUGAAUCCUGCAUGAUCUUUCUCAAUGAUUACUUUACACUACUCCCUAUAUGGUGUAUAUAGAUAUUUCGAAAGUCAAACUUUACGAAUUUUGAUCAAAUUGUAGAGAAAACAAUUUAUAUCUAUAAUACCAAAUAUAUAUAAUAUGAAAAUAAAUCUUAUGAAGAACCUAUUGAUAUGUAUUUGGCAUUCUAGAUGUACACGUUUUUCUCUACAAACUUGAUCAAAGUUUGUAAAUUUUGACUUAAAAAAUGUAUAUGCACUGCAUUGUGGACGGAGAGAAUACAUCCUAUACAAAAAUGAACAACCACUCAAACUUCAUGAAAAAAACCUUGUUUUAUUGCACUCAAACAAAUUAAAUCACGCAUAUACUAAUAGAUAUAAAUAGAUUUUUCUAUUCCCACAUUUUUCUAUUCACACACUUUUCUAUUCCCGCAUUUUUAUUGCUCUUUCGUUUGUUAGUUUGUUAUAUGCUUUUUUUUUCUCCCCCCCCCCCCCCCCCUUUAGAAAUAUAGAUCAAAUAAUACAUUACUUAAUUCUCAAAAGCAUUCACCUUACAUUUUAAUUAAUGCAGUGUAAAUAAACUUGUUUGUAAACUUUUUAAUAAUGUCAUACCAUUCAAACAUUUGUUUGUGAUAUUUAAAGAAUGUUGAAAUAUUUAAAAAUUCUUCAUGAAAGUUUAGAAAUUGUUCAUGAGAAUGUAAACUUGUGUUUGCUUACUUUCAAAAAAAAUGUUCGUAACAUGCAAAAAUUGUCUCAUGACAUUAAAUGUUAAUGUGUGCUAAAUAUAUACUCCCUCCGUCUCAAAAUAAGUGUCUUAACUUUGUACUAACUUUAGUACAAAGUUGUACUAAACUUGGGACACUUAUUUUAGGACGGAGGGAGUAUUAAUUUGUGAAAUUUUAAAUAAACAUCAUGAAAUGAAAAAAAGUGAUUACACAAUUUUUAAAAAAUGAUCAUAACGUAUAAACGAUGUAUGUGACAUUUUUUCUAACAGUUAAUAAAUGUUAUAAUGUUCUAUAAAAAUGUUCAUGAUAUUUUAAAUUAGUUCAGAAUGUGUUUAAAAAGGUUCACUCGUAAAAUAUGUUCAAUGUGUAUCAAAAAAUGCUCAAACUUAUUCAAAAAAAUACUCAACAUUGAUUGAAAAAUGUUGAACAUGUAUGCUACAUAUAUUUUUUAAAAAGUAAACAAAAAAGAUAAAAAUUCCUAACAUUAAAACUAUUUUAACAAAAAUCUAUAGAACUAAACACAAAGCCCCCCACCCCCAGCCACCCGUAGAACCUUCCCAAAACCGGGUGGAAGGUUCUAUGAACCGGUCCCACUUCAGCGCUUCAGAACGCCCCAUAUAGGCGAGGGCUAUAGUAGGUAUCGAGCUAUUUGAUAUAACGGAUGAAUUUAUUUGGGUUGGAGUAAUGAUUGGACCAGUAGCUAGGCUCAUUGGCUGGCCUGCUUUACAAGGCAAUCUAAAGAGUUUCUAAAAAAAUAACAAUCUGAAAAGAGAAUGUUCCGUCUUUUCGUUCUACUAGUUCUACUCUACUCUUUGUUUGCGCCGAUCUAAAAGAGUUUCUUCCUUUGAAAAGGAGGAUUAUCCCCGAGCUCUGCAUCAGAUGAUGCAUAUAGUCAUUUUAUUGGUAUUGAUAUCAAUAAAAUGCAUAACUCAUCUUAGAUAUACGAGCAAAAGCGAAUCAUAAAACAAAUGGCCAUGGCCGACAAAAUAAGACAAGAUGCCUCCACUUUACGCAACAACAACAAAAGAUGCCUACACAUUUUCAUGUUGUUGAACCGUCAUCUAAAUCGGUUUUACAUACCCUAUGUCACUGUUUUUCAAUGGUUGCAUCUAAAAAUCGUACGUUUCUUGAUUUUUACGUGACUAAGUAAUGACCACAUAUAGAUCCAUGCAGAUGCCCUGAAGAUAACCUGGCUUCAAUGUUGUGGAGCUUGGCUGCCCGCAUGGCACGGCUCAUUUUUAAGUCGCCGGAGUCCGGCUGUGCCUGAAAUUCACAUGAUGGCAAUAAACGUGAAAUUGCAGUAACCCAUGAAAAGUUCUCAGAAAAAAAGUAUACAUGGAAAUCCACCGCAGGAAGAUCCAUCAGAGCUGAGAAGCUAUCCUUUAGAUUUAGACGGCGUGUCAGCAACUUAGCAAAUCCACGUGAUGUUUCACCCAGGAAUUUAUGAGCAAUUCCUCACAUGCAUGUUGUAUUACUGAACAGGGUCCAUAGGCAAGCUGGCGGUGCGCGAGACAAGCCGACAAAAGGGUUUGAUGCGCCGAUGGCAUUUGUACUCGCUUGAGUUGUACGCCUCCAUCGUAUAAAAGCAGCGGUACCAUACAAUAAAUCGCGGCCCACAUUCCCUUUUUUUUUGCAUCGAGCCCACGUUCCCUUGUUUUCAGUGAUCUUAACUCCACCGGAAUUUAUUUGAUCGUAGCUUAUAUCUGAAACUUUAUGAGCAUCUGCGGCUAUUAACUCGUAAAUUCGGCCUCUUAGACGUUCGUAGAUAUAUCUGCAGAUACUAACCGAACAUAUUAAAAAUGAGUUAAUUACCAAAAAAAUUGACAUUAAUGGCUAGGGUUACAUAAACCAUAUUUUUAUAGAACUGUGUCCAAAAACACUAAUUCCUAGGCUAUUUUUUGCAAAACAGUAGUUGAUGGUUUGGACCGUUUUAAACAUGAUUAUGACUGGUUGGUCCCACAAAUGAUGACAUGUCGAAACGGUUGAAGAUAGACAUCGUUAGAUGAUUGACUUUUUUGAUUUGCAAAAGUGUCCCUCUAGUUUUGCAGGGACAACCUUCAAUCAAAAACAAAAAAGCAAUCACGCCCAAGCUGACCGAUAGAACAGCAGCUUGCCAGCCAUAUCUCGUCGCCGGUGAGGGGGUGCCCCGGGGUCGCGGCCAGCGCCUGCACCGGCGACCCGAGUCCCCAUCCUCAGUCGUCACCCCUGGUGUCUCCAUCCCAAGGUCCGUCGACAAGUCGCUCGAAGUGUUCCGGCUCGUGUCGUCGUUGCACAAGCGGAUAUGGCGAGCGUCGACAGUGACCAUGGUGGCUGGUCCGCGAGCAUGACCCACACGGUGACCAUGGUGGCUGGUCCGCGAGCACGCACGGGUCAAAGUGCGCAUUGACGGGGAUGCGCAUCAACGGCCAGUCAUGCGCGGCCGACGAGGGUGCUGUUCGUGCCCGUCGAGGCCAACAUCAUCGCUACUCAUGUCCAUCAAUGCUGAAGUCGUCGCUGCUCCUGCCCGUGGCGCCCGUGUUCGGCUCCCCCGGUAGCUUGGUCGGGGCUGGCCCUCCGGUGCCGACUGCUGCUUGGAGACGGCCAUAGGUGGCCCGGUUUGCUAGGCGACGAUGGUGGGCACGGCUUGGAGACUCUCACACCGCAUCCCCCUGAUGUCGGUGGAUAGUGACGCGUGGCCCAUGGGGGUGGCCCCACUGGUCAGGGUUGGGUUAUAAGUAGGUGUGUGUUGGCGUGGGAGAGGCAUGUGUAAUGUACGAGACUCUCAUUCCUCUCCUUCUACCUCUUCCCUCACCUAACUUUCCUGUAUCCUCACCUACCUCUGAAAUAAAGCAAGCUGAACUCAUCCCCAAUUCCCUCAUGUACCAAUCCUAGAUCCCUGGGUCAUUACAAACUAGUACUCAGAGCCAGAUAUGUUUCCCCGAUCCGCCCGACUCGCUGCCCUCUCAUCCUCCCGAUCGGAUCGUAAAAUCCACCGCUGCGGGUGCACGUUCACCUCAGUAGCCGACGCGAAAUCCUGAGCGGGGUUGAUCUGGUUUGGAGCGAGGCAACGACGCCCCCGACCAAGGCUUCUGCCCAGACCCGUCAGAUCCUCCACGCCAUGGCCGAAUCCACCGGGGACAUCAAGUCCCUGCUCGAGUCGCUGAUCAAGCAGGUGGACGCGGGUCAACGAACCGUCAACAGGCACAUCGAGGCGCAGCUCGCCUUCAACGAGCAGGUCUCCAGCGACCUCGCCCAUCUGUGCAGGCAGGUGGAUCUCACCCCAACUAACGUCGACGAGGUGCACCACCAACGCGACCAGCAGAAAUCGACCGCGCCACCGCCCCCGCCCCACCAACCGCAAGCAUCCGUCGCAGUUCCCCCUCCGGAGCAGCCGUUUGCGCGUCUGGCCAACAUCGGGCCACCGCUCAUCGGGACGCGCCCGGCCACAUCGCUCUACGGGGUGGCGUAACUGCGAGCUCAACAAGAGGCGUACCAGGAGGAGGCGCGGGACACCUACACGGUCAAGCCGCCCAAGCGCGAUUUUCCCACAUUCGGCGGUUAGCGCCCUACUUGUGGAUUGAUCGAUGCGAGUCUGAUGUCAGCCGUACUUCCCUUGCAACAGCGCCAAGAAUAGUCGUGUCAACGGCACCAGGAAUCCUUCAGCUGCGGCUACGCCUUAAGGGACUUCCUAGGCAAGUAUGCAAAGGAUUUCCGUCGUGGCCUUGGAGCCUUGCAUUGGUGUUCCCUCGAAGCGGAAAGGGUAAUGUAGCACAGCGGUGGUAAGUAUUUCCCUCAGUUUGAGAACCAAGGUAUCAAUCCGGUGGAUGAGUAUCACAAGAUCCCGCACAAACACAAAAGCAUGUUCCCAACGCUACGAAGGGGUUGUCAAUCCCUUAUAGAUUGUUUGCCAAGUGCGAACUGAAAGCAAUAAAGUAACAAAGCAAAGUAAAAGCGGAGAUGUAAACGAUGGAUGUGAAUAGACCCGGGGGCCGUAGUGUUUACUAGUGGCUUCUCUCAUGAAAGCAAGUAGACGGUGGGUGAACAAAUUACUGUCGACCAAUUGAUAGAACCGCGCAAAGUCGUGACGAUAUCUAUGCAAUGAUUAUAUCUAUAGGCAUCACGUCCAAAACAAGUAGACCGAUACUUUCUGCAUCUACUACUAUUACUCCACACGUCGACCGCUAUCCAGCAUGCAUCUAGUGUAUUAAGUCCAUAAGAACAGAGUAACGCCUUAAGCAAGAUGACAUGAUGUAGAGGGAUAAUCUCAAACCAAUGAUAAAAACCCCAUGUUUUUAGCCUUGAUGGCAACUACUUGAUGUGUGCCUUGUUGCCCCUACUGUCAGUGGGAAAGGUCGCCACAUGGUAGAACCCAAAACCAAGCAUUUCUCCCAUUGCAAGAAUCAUAGAUCUAGUUGGCCAAACAAAACCCAAGACUCGGAGAGACUUACAAGGAUAUCAAAUCAUGCAUAUAAGAAAUCAGCAAAGACUCAAAUAUAUAUCAUAGAUAAUCUGAUCAGAAAUCCACAAUUCAUCGGAUCUCGACAAACACACCGCCAAAGAAGAUUACAUUGGAUAGAUCUCCAUGAAUAUCAUGGAGAACUUUGUAUUGAAGAUCCGAGAGAGAGAAGAAGCCAUCUAGCUACUAACUACGGACCCGUAGGUCUGAAGUGAACUACUCACGAGUCAUUGGAGGGGCGAUGAUGAUGAUGAAGAAGCCCUCCAACUCCAAAGUCCCCUCCGGCAGGGCGCCGGGAAGGGUCUCCAGAUGAGAUCUCGCGGAAACGGAAGCUUGCGGCGGCGGAAAAGUAUUUUCGAGGCUCCCCUGAUUUUUUGCUGAAUAUUUGGGAAUAUAUAGGCCAAGGAUCUAGGUCAGGGGGCGGCCAGGGAGGCCACAAGCCCUGACACCGCCACCUCCCCCCUGGUGGCGGAGUGGGGGCUUGUGGGCUCCCUGGAGCCCACCUGGCUUGGCCCAAAGGCCCCCCUGAUCUUCUUUCGUUCGGGAAAAAUCAUUUCGUGGUUUUUAUUCCGUUUGGACUCCGUUCCAACAUCAGAUGUGAAAAGAGUCAAAAACACAGAAAAAACAGGAACUGGCACUUGGCACUGAAUUAAUAAGUUAGUCCCAAAAAAGAUAUAAAAGGUACGUAAAACAUCCAAAGAAGACAAGAUAACAGCGUGAAACCAUCAAAAAUUAUAGAUACGUUUAAGACGUAUCAGAGUUCUACUUCGAGUUGUACCGUGUGCUGCCACACAGUUGGGUCACCACGACGUCGCUCUACAUCGAAGGGCACGCGGCGCACUGGUUGCAGGCAUUUCAUCAUGCACAUUGCGCGCUCGGCUGGCUGGUGUUAUGUACCAUAGUCAAGGAGGAAUUCGGCCCCGAUGAGUUCGAGUUGGAAAUGCACAAGCUGCUGCAGCUACGUCAGACAGGCACCGUGGCUGCAUACCGGGAGGAAUUUGAGGGCUACAUGUACCACCUGCUGGCACUGGAUGCGUCGCUCAGCCCAAAAAAUUUCAUCACUCGGUUUCUGCUUGGCCUUCAGGAUGAUCUUCGCGCAGCGAUGCGAUUGCAAGCGUCGUCCAGCAUCAUGCGUGCGUGUGUGCUCGUGCAGAUCCAAGAGGAGGAGAUGCACAUGCCUAGAACGCGCCCGCGGCCACACCCUACGGGUCGGCCCCACCACUGCCAGCGCCAACACCAGCACGCCUGUCGGGUGCUCAACGACCGACCGCGGCGAACGACGCGUUCGCGCGGGAGCGCCGGCUGCGGGAUCAUAUGUGCGCUCAUGGCCUGUGCUUCACAGCACGCAGUUUUCGGAGUCGAGACACCACACACAAUACGUCUUCGAGCACUGGUGGGAAAUCAAGUCAUGCUGAUGCUAGUGGAUUCCGGCAGCACACACAACUUCAUCUCAGCAGCAUUCGCCAAACGGAUAGCAAAAGAAUCGACUCCAAUUCCACCCGUGGAGGUCUGGGUGGCCAACGGUGACAGCAUUGUCCGCGACAAGAUAAUGUCGGGCGUCCAAUGGUGGUUACAGGGACACACAUUCACCACUGACAUGCGCCUCCUCGAUCUCGGUGCUUACGACGGAGUAUAGGGCACAGACUGGCUUGAACAGUUCAGCCCCAUGACAUGUCACUGGCUCAACAAGACACUCACAUUUGACAACAUGGGCCAAACGUUGACACUAAAAGGGGUGCAGAAGAAGGCCGUGCACGCGCCUGAACCACUGGAGCCGGAGCAGUUCAACAAAUGGGAGGCGGGGAAUGAAAUCUGGUACAUGGCAUUGAUUGACAAACAACAAUGUCGAACCGAGCCACCAGACAAGCUUCCAGCAGCCAUCAAGCAAGUCCUUGUUGAGUACAGUGACGUGUUCAAGGAUCCUACAGUUCUGCCACCACACACACAAUAUGAUCACACAAUCACCUUGGUUGAAGGUGCCCAACCAUCCAACACCAGGCCGUAUCAGUAUUCCCCACUUCAGAAGGACGAAAUCAAGCGGCAAGUUCAGGAAAUGCUCGAGUAAGGCGUGAUCGAGCACAACAUGAGUCCCUCCGCGACCCGAGUGCUCUUGGUCAAGAAGAAAGAUGGCUCAUGGCGAUUUUGUGUCGACUAUUGCCGUCUCAAUGACCUCACUAUCAAGAAUUGAUUCCCACUACCUAUCAAUAAUAAAUUACUCGACGAGCUGGCCGGCGCAAUGUACUUCUCCAAGCUCGACUUGCGCGCCGGCUACCACCAGAUUCGCAUGCGCCCGGGUGACGAAGAGAAGACGACCUUCAAGAUGCACCAUGGACACUUCCAGUUUCGCGUCAUGCCCUUUGGCCUGAGAAACGCUCCAGCAACAUUCCAAUGCCUGAUGAACCAGAUCUUCUAUAAACAUGUCCUCCACUUCGUCAUCAUCUUCCUCGACGAUAUUGUCGUCUUCAGCGAGACCCUGGAGGAUCACAAAGAGCACCUUUGCGCAGAUUUUGAGCUACUCCGUCAACACCAGCUCUAUGCUAAGCUCUCCAAGUGCUCCUUCGCUAUCGAGAGCAUUGACUACCUGGGGCAUGUCAUUUCCAGCGAGGGAGUGGCAAUUGACGCAGAGAAGACCCAAGCAAUGCUGGGAUGGCCGACACCUUCAAACGCUACAAAGCUUCGUGGCUUCCUUGGUCUCACUGGUCACUAUCGCAAAUUUGUGGCAUGCUACUGCAUGAUCGCCAAGCCUCUAAUAGCUCUUCUGACUAAGAAAGGCUUUGAAUGGUCUGAUCAGGCCCAAGCUGCGUUUGACCUAAUCAAGAGGGCCAUGGCCAGCGCACCAGUCCUUGCCUUGCCAAACUUUGACAAGCCUUUCAGCAACGAGACUGACGCCUACGACAUGGUAAUUGGAGCAGUGCUCGUGCAGGAGGGCCAUCCAGUGGCAUACUUCAGCAAGGCACUGGGCGUUCGCAACCAAAAGUUAUCAGCCUAUGAGAAGGAGUUCCUAGCCGUGAUGAUUUUUGUCGACAAAUGGCGUGCUUACCUGCAGCGGGGGCAGUUCAUCGUUGUCACAGAUCACAAGAGCUUGUGCAACCUGGGUGAUCAGCAGUUGGAGACGGAUAACAGUAGGGGCAGCAAGGCACACAUCAAGUAGUUGCCAUCAAGGGUAAAAAGAUGGGGUUUUUAUCAUUGGUUUGAGAUUAUCCCUCUACAUCAUGUCAUCUUGCUUAAGGCAUUACUCUGUUCUUAUGGACUUAAUACACCAGAUGCAUGCUGGAUAGCGGUCGACAUCUGGAGUAAUAGUAGUAGAUGCAGAAAGUAUCAGUCUACUUGUUUUGGACAUGAUGCCUAUAGAAACAAUCAUUGCAUAGAUAUUGUCACGACUUUGCGCGGUUCUAUCAAUUGCUCGACAGUAAUUUGUUCACCCACCGUCUACUUGCUUUCAUGAGAGAAGCCACUAGUAAACACUACGGCCCCCGGGUCUAUUCACAUCCAUCGUUUACACCUCCGCUUUUACUUUGCUUUGCUACUUUGUUGCUUUCAGUUCUCACUUGGCAAACAAUCUAUAAGGGAUUGACAACCCCUUCAUAGCGUUGGGUGCAAGCUUUUGUGUUUGUGCAGGAUCUUGAGAUACUCUUCCGCCGGAUUGGUACCUUGGUUUUCAAACUGAGGGAAAUACUUACCGUCGCUGUGCUACAUCACCCUUUCCGCUUCGAGGGAACACCAACGCAAGGCUCCAAGGCCACGGGGGAAAUCCGUUGCAUACUUGCCUAGGAAGUCCCUUAAGGCGUAGCCGCAGCUGAGGGAUUCCUGGUGCCGUCGACACAACUAUUUCUGGCGCCAUUGAAAGGUCUUUUGUUGCAGUAGCAGAAGUAUUUCUGGCGCCGUUGCCGGGGAUACACAGCUGACAUCAGAAGUAUUUCUGGUGCCGUUGCCGGGGAAGGAGAAAUCAAGAUGUAUCCAAGUAGGUCUCACAAACUCUUCUCUUGCAUUUACUUUUGUUGCCAGUUGCCUCUCGUUUUUCUCUCCCCCACUUCACAUUUGCCGUUUUCAUUCGCCUUUCUCCUUCGCCGUUUUCUUUUGCCCUUGCCGUUUUCCUUUGUCGGUUUCUUGCUUGCUUGUGUGCUUGUUUGUUUGUUGAAGACAUCAUGUCUGAAAACACCAAACUUUGCGACUUCUCGAGCACUAAUAAUAAUGAUUUUAUUAGUACUCCGGUUGCUCCCGCCACUAGUGCAGAAUCAUAUGAAAUCAACGCAGCUUUGCUGAAUCUUGUUAUGAAAGAGCAAUUCUCUGGCCUUCCUAGUGAAGAUGCCACAUCCCAUCUCAAUACCUUCAUUGAGCUAUGCGAUAUGCAAAAGAAAAGAGAUGUGGAUAAUGACGUGAUUAAGUUGAAACUUUUUCCUUUCUCGUUGCGAGAUCCCGCAAAAACUUGGUUUUCUUCUUUGCCUAAAAAUAGUAUCGAUUCUUGGGAUAGGUGCAAAGAUGCUUACAUAUCCAAGUAUUUUCCACCGGCUAAGAUCAUCUCCUUACGUAACGAUAUCAUGAAUUUCAAGCAACUUGAUCAUGAACACGUUGCACAAUCUUGGGAGAGGAUGAAGCUUAUGAUUAGAAAUUGUCCCGCUCAUGGCUUGAGUUUCUGGAUGAUUAUACAAAUCUUUUACGCUGGCUUGAAUUUCGCUUCUCGCAAUAUCUUGGACUCCGACUCAGGUGGAAUGUUCAUGGAAAUCACGUUAGGAGACGCUACAAAACUACUAGACAAUAUCAUGACCAACUACUCUCAGUGGCACACUGAAAGGUCGCCUGCUAGCAAAAAGGUGCACGCUAUAGAAGAGAUUAACUCGCUUAGUGCUAAGAUGGACGAGUUGAUGAAUUUGGUUGCUAGUAGAAACGCUAUCGUAGAUCCUAAUGACAGGCCACUAUCUUCUUUGAUUGAGAGUAGCAACGCUAGUUUGGACGUGAAUUUUGUUGGUAGGAACAAUUUUGGCAACAACAAUGCUUUUAGAGGAAACUAUGUUCCUAGGCCUUUUCCUAGUAACUCCUCUAACAAUUAUGGCAAUUACUACGGCAACACUUAUGGAAAUCACAACAAAUUACCCUCUGAUCUAGAGAGUAAUAUCAAAGAGUUCAUCAACUCUCAAAAGAUUUUCAAUGCGUCCAUAGAGGAAAAACUACUCAAAAUAGACGAUUUGGCUAAGAGCGUUGAUAGGAUGUCUUGUGAUAUUGAUUCUUUGAAAGUUAGAUGCGCUCCUCCCAAGAUCAACUUGGAUGAAACUUUGAAAGCUAUGCGUAUCUCCAUGAAUGAGAGCAAAGAAAGAACCGCCCAAAUUCGCGCUAGACAUGAAUGGUUUAAAAGGGUACGUUCUAGUGAUGCAAAUCACGAAGAUCUUAAAGUGCUUGGUGUGUCUCCUCUUGAAUCUUUGUUUUCGCGUGUUAAACCUACUUAUGGAGGGGCUGGAUAUGAAUCCACUUUGGUUGAAAAAUGCCCCAAUGAUUCGGAGUCCACCUAUCUUGAUGAUAAAGGUGUGGAGAGUGGAGUAGAAGAAGUCAAAAUUUUGGGUAGUAAUGAAACUCCCACUUUGGAUUUCAAGGAAUUCAAUUAUGAUAAUUUCUCCUUGUUCGAAUGCGUUUCUUUGAUGCAAUCCAUUGCAAACUCUCCACACGCUUAUAGCCAAAGCAAAGCCUUUACCGCGCAUAUCGUAGAUGCUAUGAUGAAAUCUCUUCAAGAGAAGCUCGAACUAGAAGUCUCUAUACCUAGAAAACUUCAUGAUGAGUGGGAACCUACUAUCAAAAUCAAGAUCAAAAACUAUGAGUGCAAUGCUUUGUGUGAUUUGGGUGCUAGUGUUUCCGCGAUUCCAAAGUCUUUAUGUGAUAUUCUUGGUUUUCAUGAGAUUGAAGAGUGUUCUCUUAAUUUGCAUCUUGCGGAUUCUACUGUCAAGAAACCCAUGGGAAGGAUCGAUGAUGUUCUUAUUGUUGCAAAUAAGAACUAUGUACCCGUGGAUUUCAUUGUACUUGACAUAGAUUGCAAUCCUUCAUGUCCCAUUAUUCUUGGUAGACCUUUCCUAAGGACUAUUGGUGCUAUCAUCGAUAUGAAGGAAGGGAAUAUUAGAUUUCAGUUUCCUUUAAAGAAGGGCAUGGAGCACUUUCCUAGAAAGAAAAUAAGAUUUCCUUAUGAAUCUAUGAUGAGGGCUACUUAUGGUUUGAGCACCAAAGAUGACUAUACGUGAUUCCAUCACUUUCGCCUAGCUAAGGGCGUUAAACAAAAGCGCUUGUUGGGAGGCAACCCAACGAAUCUAUCCUUUUUCUUUCUGUUUUGUGUUUUCCACACUUUCAUAAUUCUGUUAUGAUUGUGUUUUUUGUGUUUCCUUUUGCGUUUGUGCCAAGCAAAACCGUUAUGAUUAGUCUUGGGGAUGAUCGUUUGGUCAUGCUGGAAAAGACAGAAACUUUCUGCUCACGAAAAUAAUUUUCAUUUUUUUUGUAUAAGAUUUUGAGUUGAUUCUUUUUGCUGCUGAUUGCUAUGCAAAUUAUUCAGACUUUCGUAAGUUUUCAGAAUUUGUGAAGUACCAUAGGUAUACGCAAUAUACAGAUUGCUACAGACUGGUCUGCUGUUAACAAAUUCUGUUUUUGUUGUGUUGGUUGCUUAUUUUGAUGAAACUAUGGAUAGUAUCGGGGGGUAUUAGCCAUGGAAGAUUGAAAGUACAGUAACCUCACAUCAGCACAAGUAGAAUUUAAGUUUGCUAUAGUACCUAAGGAAGUGGUGGUUUGCUUUCUUGUACUAAUGUUAUCACGAGUUUCUGUUUAAGUUUCGUGUUGUGAAGUUUUCAAGUUUUGGGUGAAGUUCUUAUGGACAAAGUGAUAAAGAGUGGCAAGAGCUCAAGCUUGGGGAUGCCCAAGGCACCCCAAGAGAUUCAAGGAUGCCGAAAAAGCCUAAACUUGGGGAUGCCCCAGGAAGGCAUCCCCUCUCUCGUCUUCAAUCCAUCGGUAACGUUACUUGGGGCUAUAUUUUUAUUCACCACAUGUUAUGUGUUUUUGCUUAGAGCGUCUUGUAUCAUAGGAGUCUUUUAUUUUUGGUGUGUCACAAUCAUCCUUGCUACACACCUAGAGAGAGAGACAUGCACUCACCGUGAUUUUGUCGAGCUUCACUUAUAUCUUUUGGUAGACAAUUCAGCUCACAUGUGCUUCACUUAUAUCUUUUGAGCUAGAUACUUUUGCUCUAUGUGCUUCACUUAUAUCUUUUAGAGCGCAGCGGUGCGUGGCUUGGUAGUUGAUCUAUGCUUUGAAAGUAGUCUCAAAAUGGGUAGUUAUCCAAAGGGAUACGAAAACUUCCACCUUCAUGUGCAUUGAAUAGUUAGAGAAGUUUGAUUCAUCUCAAUUAGUUUUGAGUUGUGGUUAUGGUAAUAUUGAAGUCAUGCUAGUAAGGUGUUGUGGACCUAGAAAUACUUGUGUUGAAGUUAGUGAUUCCCGUAGCAUGCACGUAUGGUGAACCGCUAUGUGAUGAAAUCUGAGCAUGAUUAGUAUAUUGAUUGUCAUCCUUUGCGUGGCGGUCGGGAUCGCGCGAUGGUUUAUACCUACCAACCCUUCCCCUAGGAGUAUGCGUUGAAUGCUUUGUUUCGAUUACUAAUAGAACUUUUACAACAAGUAUAUGAGUUCUUCAUGACUAAUGUUGAGUCCAUGGUUUAGAUGCACUUUCACCUUCCACCAUCACUAUCUUCUUAGUGCCGUGCAACUUUCGCCGGUGCACAAAACCCACCAUUAGCCUCCCUCAAAACAGCCACCAUACCUACCUAUUAUGGCUUUUUCAAAGUCAUUCCGAGAUAUAUUGCCAUGCAACUACCACCAUGACAUGUGCCAAAACGUCUACUUUGCCUUUGCAUGAUCGUAAGAUAGCUAGGAUGAUGUUUCCAUUGAUGUCUAUGCCAUGCUAGAUCAUUGCCACGGUACACUACCGAAGGCAUUCCAUAUAGAGUCAUAGAUGCUCUAAGUUUUGAGUUGAAAGUGUGAUGAUCAUCAUUAAUGGAGCAUUGUCCCAUGUGAGGAAAUAAAAGAGGCCAAAGAAGCCCACCAAAAAAAAGAGGCCAAAGAGCCCACAAAAAAAUGAGAGAAAAAGAGAGAAGGGACAAUGCUACCACUUUUUCCACACUUGUGCUUAUUAAAGCACCAUGAUCUUCAUGAUUGAGAGUCUCUCAUUUUGUCACCACCAUAUAGUUAGUGGGAAAUUUUCAUUAUAUAACUUGGCUUGUAUAUUCCAAUGAUAGGCUUCCUCAAAAUUGCCUUAGGUCUUCGUGAGCAAGCAAGUUGGAUGCACACCCACUAGUUUUCUUUAAGAGCUUUCGCAUACUCGUAGCUCUAGUGCAUCAUUUGUAUGGCAAUCCCUACUCAUUCACAUUGAUAUCUAUUGAUGAGCAUCUCCAUAGCUCAUUGAUAUGCCUAGUUAAUGUGACUAUCUUCUCCUUUUUUGUCUUGCAACCUCCACUACAUUCCACAACAUCUAUAGUGCUAUAACCAUGGCUCACGCUCAUGUAUUGCGUGAGAGUUGCAAAUGUUUGAGAAAGUAAAGGUGUGAAACAAUUACUUGGCCAAUACCGGGGUUGUGCAUGAUUUAAAUUCUUUGUGCAAUGAUGAUAGAGCAUACCCAGACUAUAUGCUUUUGUAGGGAUAACUUUCUUUUGGCCUUGUUAUUUUAAAAGUUCAUGAUUACCUUGCUAGUUUGCUUGAAUUAUUAUUGUUUCCACGUCAAUAGCAAACUAUUGUUCUGAAUCUAAUGGAUCUGAACAUUCACAUCACAUAAGAGGAAUUACAAAGGACACCUAUGUUAGGUAGCAUGAAAGCAUCAAAAAUUCAUUCUUAUCACUUCCCUACUCGAGGACGAGCAGGAGUUAAGCUUGGGGAUGCUUGAUACGUCUCAAACGUAUCUAUAAUUUUUGAUGGUUUCACGCUGUUAUCUUGUCUUCUUUGGUUGUUUUAUGUACCUUUUAUAUCUUUUUUGGGACUAACUUAUUGAUUCAGUGCCAAGCGCCAGUUCCUGUUUUUUCCGUGUUUUUGACUCUUUUCAGAUCUGAUUUUGGAACGGAGUCCAAACGGAAGAAAAACCCCGAAAUGAUUUUUUCUCGAACGAAAGAAGACCAGGGGGCUUUCGGGCCAAGCCAGGUGGCCUCCAGGGAGCCCACAAGCCCCCACUCUGCCACCAGGGGGGAGGCGGCGGUGGGCAGGCUUGUGGCCUCCCUCGCCGCCCCCUGACCUAGGUCUUUGGCCUAUAAAUUCCCAAAUAUUCCGCAAAAAAUCACGGGAGCCUCGAAAAUCCGCCGCUGCAAGAUUCCAUUUCCGCGAGAUCUCAUCUGGAGACCCUUCCCGGCACCCUGCCGGAGGGGACUUUGGAGUUGGAGGGCUUCUUCAUCAUCAUCAUCGCCCCUCCAAUGACUCGUGAGUAGUUCACUUCAGACCUACAGGUCCGUAGUUAGUAGCUAGAUAGCUUCUUCUCUCUCUUGGAUCUUCAAUACAAAGUUCUCCAUGAUCUUCAUGGAGAUCUAUCCGAUGUAAACUUCUUUGGCGGUGUGUUUGUCGAGAUCCGAUGAAUUGUGGAUUUGUGAUCAGAUUAUCUAUGUUAUAUAUUUGAGUCUUUUCUGAUUUCUUAUAUGCAUGAUUUGAUAUCCUUUUAAGUCUCUCCGAGUCUUGGGUUUUGUUUGGCCAACUAGAUCUAUGAUUCUUGCAAUGGGAGAAGUGCUUGGUUUUGGGUUCUACCAUGUGGUGACCUUUCCCAGUGACAGUAGGGGCAGCAAGGCGCACAUCAAGUAGUUGCCAUCAAGGGUAAAAAGAUGGGGGUUUUAUCAUUGGUUUGAGUUUAUCCCUCUACAUCAUGUCAUCUUGCUUAAGGCGUUACUCUGUUCUUAUGGACUUAAUACUCUAGAUGCAUGCUGGAUAGCGGUCGACGUGUGGAGUAAUAGUAGUAGAUGCAGAAAGUAUCGGUCUACUUGUUUCAGACGUGAUGCCUAUAGAAACAAUCAUUGCAUAGAUAUCAUCACGACUUUGCGCGGUUCUAUCAAUUGCUCGACAGUAAUUUGUUCACCCACCGUCCACUUGCUUUCAUGAGAGAAGCCAGUAGUAAACACUACGGCCCCCGGGUCUAUUCACAUCCUUCGUUUACACCUCCGCUUUUACUUUGCUUUGUUACUUUGUUGCUUUCAGUUCUCACUUGGCAAACAAUCUAUAAGGGAUUGACAACCCCUUCAUAGCGUUGGGUGCAAGCUUUUGUGUUUGUGCAGGAUCUUGAGAUACUCUUCCGCCGGAUUGAUACCUUAGUUCUCAAACUGAGGGAAAUACUUACCGUCGCUGUGCUACAUCACCCUUUUCGCUUCGAGGGAACACCAACGCAAGGCUCGAAGGCCACGGGGGAAAUCCUUUGCAUACUUGCCAAGGAAGUCCCUUAAGGCGUAGCCGCAGCUGAAGGAUUCUUGGUGUCGUCGACACAACUAUUUCUGGCGCCAUUGGGAAGGUCUUUUGUUGCAGUAGCAGAAGUAUUUCUGGCGCCGUUGCCGGGGAUACAGAGCUGACAUCAAGCGUAAGGCCAUGUCCAAGCUCGUGGGACUUCAGUUCAAAUUCCAGUAUCGCCGCGGCUUUGACAAUGGAGCAGCGGACGCCCUCUAGCGCGUGGGUGUGUCGCUGGACUUGAGCGCACUAUCCAUGUGCCAGCCAAUAUGGGUGCAAGAGGUGGCCAAUUCUUAUGCCACCGACGCGGACGUGCAGGAGAUGUUAUCUCGCCUAGCCAUCCAGAGCCUAGAUGACGCGGGAUUCGAGUUGCACUAGGGUCUAAUCCGCAAGCAUAACAGGCUGUGUAUAGGCAAAACAACACAACCCUGCGCACCAAGCUCAUCAGCGCCCUUCACGAUAGGUAAAACAGCAACUUAUCAGCGCAUCAAAAAGCUAUUUCUAUGGACAAGAAUGAAACGGGAUGUCAACGACUACGUCAAGCAAUGCGUCGUCUGCCAGCAUGCCAAGCACGAGCAUCGCCGACUCGUGGGAUUGCUCGAACCACUACCAAUGCCGGUGGCGCCUUGGCAGGACCUGACGAUGGACUUCGUGGAGGGCUUGCCCAAGUCGAAAGGAUUCGACUCAAUCAUGGUGGUUGCUGCGGCAACAACAGUCCUUCCCUGGCGCUUAGGAAUUCUUCUUGUUACUUCUUUGGUUUGCGUCAGUUUUUCCCUUGAAGAGGAAAGGGUGAUGCAGCACAGGAGCAGUAAGUAUUUCCUGUUGGGGAACGUCGCAUGGGAAACAAAAUUUUCCUACGCGCACGAAGACCUAUCAUGGUGAUGUCCAUCUACGAGAGGGGAUGAGUGAUCUACGUACCCUUGUAGAUCGUACAGCAGAAGCGAUUAGAGAUCGCGGUUGAUGUAGUGGAACGUCCUCACGUCCCUCGAUUCGCCCCGCGAACAAUCCCGCGAUCAGUCCCACGAUCUAGUACCGAACGGACGGCACCUCCGCGUUCAGCACACGUACAGCUCGACAAUGAUCUCGGCCUUCUUGAUCCAGCAAGAGAUACGGAGAGGUAGAAGAGUUCUCCGGCAGCGUGACGGCGCUCCGGAGGUUGGUGAUGAUCUUGUCUCAGCAGGGCUCCGCCCGAGCUCCGCAGAAACGCGAUCUAGAGGAAAAACUAUGGAGGUAUGUGGUCGGGCAGCCGUGAGAAAGUUGUCUCAAAUCAGCCCUAAUACCUCCGUAUAUAUAGGUGGGAGGGAGGGGAGGAGGCAGCCUCAAAACCUAAAGGUUUGGCCGAAAUUGGAGGUGGAGGAGUCCUACUCCAAUCCUACUUGGAGUAGGAUUCCACCUUCCCACUUGGAAACUCUUUCCACCUUGUGUUUUUUCCUUCUCAAACCUUAUGGGCCUUAGUGGGAACUUAUUCCAGCCCACUAGGGGCUGGUUUAUCUCUUCCCAUAGCCCAUGAGACCCCUUGGGGCGUGACACCCCUCCCGAUGGCCCCCGGCACCCCUCCCGGCACUCCCGCUACACUACCGAUGAGCCCGAAACUUUUCCGGUAAUGCACGGAAACCUUCCGGUAACCAAAUGAGGUCAUCCUAUAUAUCAAUCUUCGUUUCCGGACCAUUCCGGAAACCCUCGUGACGUCCGUGAUCUCAUCCGGGACUCCGAACAACAUUCGGUAACCAACCAUAUAACUCAAAUACGCAUAAAACAACGUCGAACCUUAAGUGUGCAGACCCUGCGGGUUCGAGAACUAUGUAGACAUGACCCGAGAGACUCCUCGGUCAAUAUCCAAUAGCGGGACCUGGAUGCCCAUAUUGGAUCCUACAUAUUCUACGAAGAUCUUAUCGUUUGAACCUCAGUGCCAAGGAUUCAUAUAAUCCCGUAUGUCAUUCCCUUUGUCCUUCGGUAUGUUACUUGCCCGAGAUUCGAUCGUCAGUAUCCGCAUACCUAUUUCAAUCUCGUUUACCGGCAAGUCUCUUUACUCGUUCUGUAAUACAAGAUCCCGCAACUUACACUAAGUCACAUUGCUUGCAAGGCUUGUGUGUGAUGUUGUAUUACCGAGUGGGCCCCGAGAUACCUCUCCGUCAUACGGAGUGACAAAUCCCAGUCUUGAUCCAUACUAACUCAACGAACACCUUCGGAGAUACCUGUAGAGCAUCUUUAUAGUCACCCAGUUACGUUGCGACGUUUGAUACACACAAAGCAUUCCUCCGGUGUCCGUGAGUUAUAUGAUCUCAUGGUCAUAGGAACAAAUACUUGACACGCAGAAAACAGUAGCAACAAAAUGACACGAUCAACAUGCUACGUCUAUUAGUUUGGGUCUAGUCCAUCACAUGAUUCUCCUAAUGAUGUGAUCCCGUUAUCAAGUGACAACACUUGCCUAUGGCCAGGAAACCUUGACCAUCUUUUGAACAACGAGCUAGUCAACUAGAGGCUUACUAGGGACAGUGUUUUGUCUAUGUAUCCACACAAGUAUUGUGUUUCCAAUCAAUACAAUUAUAGCAUGGAUAAUAAACGAUUAUCAUGAACUAAGAAAUAUAAUAAUAACUAGUUUAUUAUUGCCUCUAGGGCAUAUUUCCAACAGUCUCCCACUUGCACUAGAGUCAAUAAUCUAGUUCACAUCACCAUGUGAUUCCAACGAAUCCAACACCCAUAUAGUUAUGGGGUCUGAUCACGUCUUGCUCGUGAGAGAGGUUUUAGUCAACGGUUCUGAAACUUUCAGAUUCGUGCGUUCUUUACAAAUCUUUAUGUCAUCUUAUAGAUGCUGCUACUACGUGCUAUUCGGAAAUGCUCCAAAUAUCUACUCUACUAUAUGAAUCCGUUUCACUACUCAUAGUUAUCCGGAUUAGUGUCAAAGCUUGCAUUGACGUAACCCUUUACGACAAACUCUUUAACCACCUCCAUAAUCGAGAAAAAUUCCUUAGUCCAUUAGUUACUAAGGAUAAAUUUCGACCGCUGCUAGUGAUUCAAUCAUGGAUCACUCUCUGUACCUCUCAACAUACUUUGAGUCAAGGCACACUUCAGGUGCGGUACACAGCAUGGCAUACUUUAGAUUCUACGGCUAAGGCAUAGAAGACGACCUUCGUCUAUUCUCUUUAUUCUGCUGUGGUCGGGUUUUGAGUCUUACUCAAAUUCACACCUCACAACGCAACCAAGAACUCCUUCUUUGCUGGUCUAUUUUGAACUCUUUCAAAAACUUGUCAAGGCAUGCAUCUUGUUGAAACUUCUAUUAAGCGCUUUCGAUCUAUCUCCAUAGAUCUUUGAUGCUCAACGUUCAAGUAGCGUAAUCCAGGUACUCCUUUGAAAACUUCUUUCAAACAACCUUGUAUGCUUUACAGAAAUUCUACAUUACUUCUGAUCCACAAUAUGUCAACCACAUAUACCUAUCAGAAAUUCUAUAGUGCUCCCACUCAUUUCUUUGGAAAUACAAGUUUCUCAUAAACCUUGUACAAACCCAAAAUCUUUGAUCAUCUCAUCAAAGUGUAUAUUCCAACUCCGAGAUGCUUGCACCAGUCCAUUGAAGGAUUACUGGAGCUUGCAUACUUGCUAGUAUCUUUAGGAUCGACAAAACCUUCUGGUUGUAUCACAUACAAUGUUUGCUCAAGGAAACCGUCGAGAAAACAAUGUUUUGACAUCCUACGUGCAAUAUUUCAUAAAUAAUGCAUCAACAACUAACAUAAUUCUAACAGACUUUUAGCAUCGCUACGAGUGAGAAAGUCUCAUCAUAGUCUACUGUUUGAUCUUAUCGAAAACAUCUUUGCGACAAGUCGAGCUUUUCUUAAUAGUGACUUAUCACCAUCAUCGUCUGUCUUCUUUUAAAGAUCCAUCUUUACUCAAUAGUCUUAUGACCAUCAAGUAGUUCUUUUAAAGUCUACACUUUGUUUUCAUACAUGGAUCCUCUCUCGGAUUUCAUGGCUUCCAGCCAUUUGUCGGAAUCUGGGCCCACCAUCGCUUUCUCCAUAACUCGUAGGUUCACUGUUGCUCAACAACAUGACCUCCAAGACAGGGUUACCGUACUACUCUGCAGCAGUACGCGACCUUGUCGACCUACGAGGUUUGUAGUGACUUGAUUCGAAGCUCAAUGAUCACCAUCAUCAGCUUCCACUUCAAUUGGUGUAGGCGCCACAGGAACAACUUCCUGCGCCCUGCUACACACUGGUUGAAGUGAUGGUUCAAUAACCUCAUCAAGUUCUACUACCCUCCCACUCAAUUCUUUCGAGAGAAACCUUUCCUCGAGAAAGGAUCCGUUUCUAGAAACAAACACUUUGCUUUUGGAUCUGAGAUAGGAGAUGUAUCCAACUGUUUUGGAUAUCCUAUGAAGAUGCAUUUGUCCGCUUUGGGUUCGAGCUUAUCAUACUGAAACUUUUUCACAUAAGUGUCGAAGCCCCAAACUUUCAAGAAACGACAGUUUAGAUUUCUCUAAACCUCAGUCUAUACUGUGUCAUCUCAACGGAAAUACGCGGUGCCCUAUUUAAAGUGAGUGUGGUUGUCUCUAAUGCAUAACCCAUAAACGAUAGUGGUAAUUCGAUAAAAGAUAUCAUAGUAUGCACCAUAUCAAAUAGUGCGUGGCUAUGACGUUCAGACACAUCAUCACACUAUGAUGUUCCAGGUGGCAUGAACCGCGAAACAAUUUCCACAUUGUCUUAACUGUGUACCAAAACUCGUAACUCAGAUAUUCAUUUCUUAUGAUCAUAUCGUAGACAGUUUGUCCUCUUGUUACGACGAUCUUCACUCUGAAACGGAUUUGAACUUUUCAACAUUUCAGACUUGUGAUUCAUUAAGUAAAUAUUCCUGUAUCUACUCAAAUCAUCAGUGAAGUAAGAACAUAAUGAUAUCUACUGCGUGCCUCAGUACCUAUUGGACUGCAUACAUCAAAAUGUAUCACUUCCAACAAGUUACUAUCUUAUUUCAUCUCAAUGAAAACAAGGCCUUGCUCAUGUGGUAUGAUUUGCAUGUCACUAGUGAUUCGAAAUCAGGUGAGUACAAAGAUCCAUCAGCAUGGAGCCUCUUCAUGCAAUUUAUACUAACAUGACUCAAGCGGCAGUGCCACAAGUAAGUGGUACUAUCAUCAUUAACUCGUAUCUUUUGGCACUAAUAUUAUGAACAUGUGUAAUACUACGAUCGAGAUUCAAUAAACCAUUGAAGGUGAAUAUUCAAGAAAAUAGAGUAACCAUUAUUCUCUUUAAAUGAAUAAUCGUAUUGCAACAAACACGAUCCAAUCAUGUUCAUGCUUAACGCAAGCACCAAAUAACAAUUAGUUAGGUUUAACACCAAUCCCGAUGGUAGAGCGGGCGCGCGACGUUUGAUCAUAUCAACCUUGGAAACACUUCCAACACGUAUCGUCACCUCGCCUUUAGCUAGUCUCCGUUUAUGCCGUAGCUUUCAUUUCGUGUUACUAAUCACUUAGCAACCGAACCGGUAUCCAAUACCCUCAUGCUACUAGGAGUACUAGUAAAGUACACAUCAACAUCAUGUAUAUCAAAUACACUUCUUUCGACUUUUGCCAGCCUUCUUUAUCUACCAAGUAUCUAGAGUUGCUCCGCCUCAGUGACUGUUCCCCUCAUUACAGAAGCACUUAGUCUCGGGUUUGGGUUUAAUCUUGGGUCUCUUCAUUAGUGCAGCAACUGUUUUGCCGUUUCACGAAGUAUCCCUAGCCCUUGCCUUUCUUGAAACUUUAGUGGUUUUACAAACCAUCAACUAUUGAUGCUCCUGCUUGAUUUCUACUUUCGCAGUGUCAAACAUCACGAAUCGCUCAAGGAUCAUUGUAUCUAUCCUUGAUAUGUAUAGUUCAUCACGAAGCUCUCUCAGCUUGGUGGCAGUGUCUUUGGAGAACCAUCACUAUCUCAUCUGGAAGAUUAGCUCACACUUGAUUCAAGUGAUUGUUGUACUCAGACAAUCUAAGCACAUGCUCAACGAUUGAGCUUUUCUCCUCCACUUUGUGGUCAAAGAAUCUUGUUGGAGGUCUUGUACCUCUUAACAAGGGCACAAGCAUGAAAUCACAAUUUCAUCUCUUUAGAACAUCACUUAUGUUCCGUGACGUUUUAAAACGUUUUCGGUGCCUUGCUUCUAAGCCAUUAAGUACUUUGCACUGAACUAUCGUGUAGUCAUCAGAAACGUGUAUGUCGGAUGUUCACAACAUCCACAGACGACGCUCGAGGUGCAGCACACCGAGUGGUGCAUUAAGGACAUAAGCUUUCUGCGUAGCAACGAGGACAAUCCUCGGUUUUACAGACUCAGUCUGCAAAGUUUGCUACUAUCAAUUUUUAACUAAAUUUUCUCUAGGAACAUAUAAAAACAGUAGAGCUAUAGCGCAAGCUACAUCGUAAUUCGCAAAGACCAUUAGACUAUAUUCAUGACAAUUAGUUCAAUUAAUCAUAUUACUUAAGAACUCCCACUCAAAAAGUACAUCUCUCUAGUCAUUUGAGUGGUACAUGAUCCAAAUCCGCUAUCUCAAGUCCGAUCAUCACGUGAGUCGAGAAUAGUUUCAGUGGUAAGCAUCCCUAUGCUAAUCAUAUCAACUAUACGAUUCAUGCUCGACCUUUCGGUCUCAUGUGUUCCGAGGCCAUGUCUGCACAUGCUAGGCUCGUCAAGCUUAACCCGAGUGUUCCGCGUGUGCAACUGUUUUGCACCCGUUGUAUGUGAACGUUGAGUCUAUCACACCCGAUCAUCACGUGGUGUCUCGAAACGAAGAACUGUCGCAACGGUGCACAGUCGGGGAGAACACAAUUUCGUCUUGAAAUUUCAGUGAGAGAUCACCUCAUAAUGCUACCGUCGUUCUAAGCAAAAUAAGGUGCAUAAAAGGAUUAACAUCACAUGCAAUUCAUAAGUGACAUGAUAUGGCCAUCAUCACGUGCUUCUUGAUCUCCAUCACCAAAGCACCGGCACGAUCUUCUUGUCACCGGCGCCACACCAUGAUCAUCCAUCAACGUGUUGCCAUCGGGGUUGUCGUGCUACUUAUGCUAUUACUACUAAAGCUACAUCCUAGCAAAAUAGUAAACGCAUCUGCAAGCACAAACGUUAGUAUAAAGACAACCCUAUGGCUCCUGCCGGUUGCCGUACCAUCGACGUGCAAGUCGAUAUUUCUAUUACAACAUGAUCAUCUCAUACAUCCAAUAUAUCACAUCACAUCGUUGGCCAUAUCACAUCACAAUCAUACCGUGCAAAAACAAGUUAGACGUCCUCUAAUUUUGUUGUUGCAUGUUUUACGUGGUGACCGAGGGUAUCUAGUAGGAUCGCAUCUUACUUACGCAAACACCACAACGGAGAUAUAUGAGUUGCUAUUUAACCUCAUCCAAGGACCUCCUCGGUCAAAUCCAAUUCAACUAAAGUUGGAGAAAUAGUCACUUGCCAGUCAUCUUUGAGCAAAGAGGGUUACUCGUAACGAUGAAACCAGUCUCUCGUAAGCGUACGAGUAAUGUCGGUCCAAGCCGCUUCAAUCCAACAAUACCGCGGAAUCAAGAAAAGACUAAGGAGGGCAGCAAAACGCACAUCACCGCCCACAAAACCUUUUGUGUUCUACUCGAGAAGACAUCUACGCAUGAACCUAGCUCUGAUACCACUGUUGGGGAACGUCACAUGGGAAACAAAAUUUUCCUACGCGCACGAAGACCUAUCAUGGUGAUGUCCAUCUACGAGAGGGGAUGAGUGAUCUACGUACCCUUGUAGAUCGUACAGCAGAAGCGAUUAGAGAUCGCGGUUGAUGUAGUGGAACGUCCUCACGUCCCUCGAUUCGCCCCGCGAACAAUCCCGCGAUCAGUCCCACGAUCUAGUACCGAACGGACGGCACCUCCGCGUUCAGCACACGUACAGCUCGACGAUGAUCUCGGCCUUCUUGAUCCAGCAAGAGAGACGGAGAGGUAGAAGAGUUCUCCGGCAGCGUGACGGCGCUCCGGAGGUUGGUGAUGAUCUUGUCUCAGCAGGGCUCCGCCCGAGCUCCGCAGAAACGCGAUCUAGAGGAAAAACCAUGGAGGUAUGUGGUCGGGCAGCCGUGAGAAAGUUGUCUCAAAUCAGCCCUAAUACCUCCGUAUAUAUAGGUGGGAGGGAGGGGAGGAGGCAGCCUCAAAACCUAAAGGUUUGGCCGAAAUUGGAGGUGGAGGAGUCCUACUCCAAUCCUACUUGGAGUAGGAUUCCACCUUCCCACUUGGAAACUCUUUCCACCUUGUGUUUUUUCCUUCUCAAACCUUAUGGGCCUUAGUGGGAACUUAUUCCAGCCCACUAGGGGCUGGUUUAUCUCUUCCCAUAGCCCAUGAGACCCCUUGGGGCGUGACACCCCUCCCGAUGGCCCCCGGCACCCCUCCCGGCACUCCCGGUACACUACCGAUGAGCCCGAAACUUUUCCGGUAAUGCACGGAAACCUUCCGGUAACCAAAUGAGGUCAUCCNUGACACCCCUCCCGAUGGCCCCCGGCACCCCUCCCGGCACUCCCGCUACACUACCGAUGAGCCCGAAACUUUUCCGGUAAUGCACGGAAACCUUCCGGUAACCAAAUGAGGUCAUCCUAUAUAUCAAUCUUCGUUUCCGGACCAUUCCGGAAACCCUCGUGACGUCCGUGAUCUCAUCCGGGACUCCGAACAACAUUCGGUAACCAACCAUAUAACUCAAAUACGCAUAAAACAACGUCGAACCUUAAGUGUGCAGACCCUGCGGGUUCGAGAACUAUGUAGACAUGACCCGAGAGACUCCUCGGUCAAUAUCCAAUAGCGGGACCUGGAUGCCCAUAUUGGAUCCUACAUAUUCUACGAAGAUCUUAUCGUUUGAACCUCAGUGCCAAGGAUUCAUAUAAUCCCGUAUGUCAUUCCCUUUGUCCUUCGGUAUGUUACUUGCCCGAGAUUCGAUCGUCAGUAUCCGCAUACCUAUUUCAAUCUCGUUUACCGGCAAGUCUCUUUACUCGUUCUGUAAUACAAGAUCCCGCAACUUACACUAAGUCACAUUGCUUGCAAGGCUUGUGUGUGAUGUUGUAUUACCGAGUGGGCCCCGAGAUACCUCUCCGUCAUACGGAGUGACAAAUCCCAGUCUUGAUCCAUACUAACUCAAUGAACACCUUCGGAGAUACCUGUAGAGCAUCUUUAUAGUCACCCAGUUACGUUGCGACGUUUGAUACACACAAAGCAUUCCUCCGGUGUCAGUGAGUUAUAUGAUCUCAUGGUCAUAGGAACAAAUACUUGACACGCAGAAAACAGUAGCAACAAAAUGACACGAUCAACAUGCUACGUCUAUUAGUUUGGGUCUAGUCCAUCACAUGAUUCUCCUAAUGAUGUGAUCCCGUUAUCAAGUGACAACACUUGCCUAUGGCCAGGAAACCUUGACCAUCUUUUGAACAACGAGCUAGUCAACUAGAGGCUUACUAGGGACAGUGUUUUGUCUAUGUAUCCACACAAGUAUUGUGUUUCCAAUCAAUACAAUUAUAGCAUGGAUAAUAAACGAUUAUCAUGAACUAAGAAAUAUAAUAAUAACUAAUUUAUUAUUGCCUCUAGGGCAUAUUUCCAACAGUCUCCCACUUGCACUAGAGUCAAUAAUCUAGUUCACAUCACCAUGUGAUUCCAACGAAUCCAACACCCAUAUAGUUAUGGGGUCUGAUCACGUCUUGCUCGUGAGAGAGGUUUUAGUCAACGGUUCUGAAACUUUCAGAUUCGUGCGUUCUUUACAAAUCUUUAUGUCAUCUUAUAGAUGCUGCUACUACGUGCUAUUCGGAAAUGCUCCAAAUAUCUACUCUACUAUAUGAAUCCGUUUCACUACUCAUAGUUAUCCGGAUUAGUGUCAAAGCUUGCAUUGACGUAACCCUUUACGACAAACUCUUUAACCACCUCCAUAAUCGAGAAAAAUUCCUUAGUCCAUUAGUUACUAAGGAUAAAUUUCGACCGCUGCUAGUGAUUCAAUCAUGGAUCACUCUCUGUACCUCUCAACAUACUUUGAGUCAAGGCACACUUCAGGUGCGGUACACAGCAUGGCAUACUUUAGAUUCUACGGCUAAGGCAUAGAAGACGACCUUCGUCUAUUCUCUUUAUUCUGCUGUGGUCGGGUUUUGAGUCUUACUCAAAUUCACACCUCACAACGCAACCAAGAACUCCUUCUUUGCUGGUCUAUUUUGAACUCUUUCAAAAACUUGUCAAGGCAUGCAUCUUGUUGAAACUUCUAUUAAGCGCUUUCGAUCUAUCUCCAUAGAUCUUUGAUGCUCAACGUUCAAGUAGCGUAAUCCAGGUACUCCUUUGAAAACUUCUUUCAAACAACCUUGUAUGCUUUACAGAAAUUCUACAUUACUUCUGAUCCACAAUAUGUCAACCACAUAUACCUAUCAGAAAUUCUAUAGUGCUCCCACUCAUUUCUUUGGAAAUACAAGUUUCUCAUAAACCUUGUACAAACCCAAAAUCUUUGAUCAUCUCAUCAAAGUGUAUAUUCCAACUCCGAGAUGCUUGCACCAGUCCAUUGAAGGAUUACUGGAGCUUGCAUACUUGCUAGUAUCUUUAGGAUCGACAAAACCUUCUGGUUGUAUCACAUACAAUGUUUGCUCAAGGAAACCGUCGAGAAAACAAUGUUUUGACAUCCUACGUGCAAUAUUUCAUAAAUAAUGCAUCAACAACUAACAUAAUUCUAACAGACUUUUAGCAUCGCUACGAGUGAGAAAGUCUCAUCAUAGUCUACUGUUUGAUCUUAUCGAAAACAUCUUUGCGACAAGUCGAGCUUUUCUUAAUAGUGACUUAUCACCAUCAUCGUCUGUCUUCUUUUAAAGAUCCAUCUUUACUCAAUAGUCUUAUGACCAUCAAGUAGUUCUUUUAAAGUCUACACUUUGUUUUCAUACAUGGAUCCUCUCUCGGAUUUCAUGGCUUCCAGCCAUUUGUCGGAAUCUGGGCCCACCAUCGCUUUCUCCAUAACUCGUAGGUUCACUGUUGCUCAACAACAUGACCUCCAAGACAGGGUUACCGUACUACUCUGCAGCAGUACGCGACCUUGUCGACCUACGAGGUUUGUAGUGACUUGAUUCGAAGCUCAAUGAUCACCAUCAUCAGCUUCCACUUCAAUUGGUGUAGGCGCCACAGGAACAACUUCCUGCGCCCUGCUACACACUGGUUGAAGUGAUGGUUCAAUAACCUCAUCAAGUUCUACUACCCUCCCACUCAAUUCUUUCGAGAGAAACCUUUCCUCGAGAAAGGAUCCGUUUCUAGAAACAAACACUUUGCUUUUGGAUCUGAGAUAGGAGAUGUAUCCAACUGUUUUGGAUAUCCUAUGAAGAUGCAUUUGUCCGCUUUGGGUUCGAGCUUAUCAUACUGAAACUUUUUCACAUAAGUGUCGAAGCCCCAAACUUUCAAGAAACGACAGUUUAGAUUUCUCUAAACCUCAGUCUAUACUGUGUCAUCUCAACGGAAAUACGCGGUGCCCUAUUUAAAGUGAGUGUGGUUGUCUCUAAUGCAUAACCCAUAAACGAUAGUGGUAAUUCGAUAAAAGAUAUCAUAGUAUGCACCAUAUCAAAUAGUGCGUGGCUAUGACGUUCAGACACAUCAUCACACUAUGAUGUUCCAGGUGGCAUGAACCGCGAAACAAUUUCCACAUUGUCUUAACUGUGUACCAAAACUCGUAACUCAGAUAUUCAUUUCUUAUGAUCAUAUCGUAGACAGUUUGUCCUCUUGUUACGACGAUCUUCACUCUGAAACGGAUUUGAACUUUUCAACAUUUCAGACUUGUGAUUCAUUAAGUAAAUAUUCCUGUAUCUACUCAAAUCAUCAGUGAAGUAAGAACAUAAUGAUAUCUACUGCGUGCCUCAGUACCUAUUGGACUGCAUACAUCAAAAUGUAUCACUUCCAACAAGUUACUAUCUUAUUUCAUCUCAAUGAAAACAAGGCCUUGCUCAUGUGGUAUGAUUUGCAUGUCACUAGUGAUUCGAAAUCAGGUGAGUACAAAGAUCCAUCAGCAUGGAGCCUCUUCAUGCAAUUUAUACUAACAUGACUCAAGCGGCAGUGCCACAAGUAAGUGGUACUAUCAUCAUUAACUCGUAUCUUUUGGCACUAAUAUUAUGAACAUGUGUAAUACUACGAUCGAGAUUCAAUAAACCAUUGAAGGUGAAUAUUCAAGAAAAUAGAGUAACCAUUAUUCUCUUUAAAUGAAUAAUCGUAUUGCAACAAACACGAUCCAAUCAUGUUCAUGCUUAACGCAAGCACCAAAUAACAAUUAGUUAGGUUUAACACCAAUCCCGAUGGUAGAGCGGGCGCGCGACGUUUGAUCAUAUCAACCUUGGAAACACUUCCAACACGUAUCGUCACCUCGCCUUUAGCUAGUCUCCGUUUAUGCCGUAGCUUUCAUUUCGUGUUACUAAUCACUUAGCAACCGAACCGGUAUCCAAUACCCUCAUGCUACUAGGAGUACUAGUAAAGUACACAUCAACAUCAUGUAUAUCAAAUACACUUCUUUCGACUUUUGCCAGCCUUCUUUAUCUACCAAGUAUCUAGAGUUGCUCCGCCUCAGUGACUGUUCCCCUCAUUACAGAAGCACUUAGUCUCGGGUUUGGGUUUAAUCUUGGGUCUCUUCAUUAGUGCAGCAACUGUUUUGCCGUUUCACGAAGUAUCCCUAGCCCUUGCCUUUCUUGAAACUUUAGUGGUUUUACAAACCAUCAACUAUUGAUGCUCCUGCUUGAUUUCUACUUUCGCAGUGUCAAACAUCACGAAUCGCUCAAGGAUCAUUGUAUCUAUCCUUGAUAUGUAUAGUUCAUCACGAAGCUCUCUCAGCUUGGUGGCAGUGUCUUUGGAGAACCAUCACUAUCUCAUCUGGAAGAUUAGCUCACACUUGAUUCAAGUGAUUGUUGUACUCAGACAAUCUAAGCACAUGCUCAACGAUUGAGCUUUUCUCCUCCACUUUGUGGUCAAAGAAUCUUGUUGGAGGUCUUGUACCUCUUAACAAGGGCACAAGCAUGAAAUCACAAUUUCAUCUCUUUAGAACAUCACUUAUGUUCCGUGACGUUUUAAAACGUUUUCGGUGCCUUGCUUCUAAGCCAUUAAGUACUUUGCACUGAACUAUCGUGUAGUCAUCAGAAACGUGUAUGUCGGAUGUUCACAACAUCCACAGACGACGCUCGAGGUGCAGCACACCGAGUGGUGCAUUAAGGACAUAAGCUUUCUGCGUAGCAACGAGGACAAUCCUCGGUUUUACAGACUCAGUCUGCAAAGUUUGCUACUAUCAAUUUUUAACUAAAUUUUCUCUAGGAACAUAUAAAAACAGUAGAGCUAUAGCGCAAGCUACAUCGUAAUUCGCAAAGACCAUUAGACUAUAUUCAUGACAAUUAGUUCAAUUAAUCAUAUUACUUAAGAACUCCCACUCAAAAAGUACAUCUCUCUAGUCAUUUGAGUGGUACAUGAUCCAAAUCCGCUAUCUCAAGUCCGAUCAUCACGUGAGUCGAGAAUAGUUUCAGUGGUAAGCAUCCCUAUGCUAAUCAUAUCAACUAUACGAUUCAUGCUCGACCUUUCGGUCUCAUGUGUUCCGAGGCCAUGUCUGCACAUGCUAGGCUCGUCAAGCUUAACCCGAGUGUUCCGCGUGUGCAACUGUUUUGCACCCGUUGUAUGUGAACGUUGAGUCUAUCACACCCGAUCAUCACGUGGUGUCUCGAAACGAAGAACUGUCGCAACGGUGCACAGUCGGGGAGAACACAAUUUCGUCUUGAAAUUUCAGUGAGAGAUCACCUCAUAAUGCUACCGUCGUUCUAAGCAAAAUAAGGUGCAUAAAAGGAUUAACAUCACAUGCAAUUCAUAAGUGACAUGAUAUGGCCAUCAUCACGUGCUUCUUGAUCUCCAUCACCAAAGCACCGGCACGAUCUUCUUGUCACCGGCGCCACACCAUGAUCAUCCAUCAACGUGUUGCCAUCGGGGUUGUCGUGCUACUUAUGCUAUUACUACUAAAGCUACAUCCUAGCAAAAUAGUAAACGCAUCUGCAAGCACAAACGUUAGUAUAAAGACAACCCUAUGGCUCCUGCCGGUUGCCGUACCAUCGACGUGCAAGUCGAUAUUUCUAUUACAACAUGAUCAUCUCAUACAUCCAAUAUAUCACAUCACAUCGUUGGCCAUAUCACAUCACAAUCAUACCGUGCAAAAACAAGUUAGACGUCCUCUAAUUUUGUUGUUGCAUGUUUUACGUGGUGACCGAGGGUAUCUAGUAGGAUCGCAUCUUACUUACGCAAACACCACAACGGAGAUAUAUGAGUUGCUAUUUAACCUCAUCCAAGGACCUCCUCGGUCAAAUCCAAUUCAACUAAAGUUGGAGAAAUAGUCACUUGCCAGUCAUCUUUGAGCAAAGAGGGUUACUCGUAACGAUGAAACCAGUCUCUCGUAAGCGUACGAGUAAUGUCGGUCCAAGCCGCUUCAAUCCAACAAUACCGCGGAAUCAAGAAAAGACUAAGGAGGGCAGCAAAACGCACAUCACCGCCCACAAAACCUUUUGUGUUCUACUCGAGAAGACAUCUACGCAUGAACCUAGCUCUGAUACCACUGUUGGGGAACGUCACAUGGGAAACAAAAUUUUCCUACGCGCACGAAGACCUAUCAUGGUGAUGUCCAUCUACGAGAGGGGAUGAGUGAUCUACGUACCCUUGUAGAUCGUACAGCAGAAGCGAUUAGAGAUCGCGGUUGAUGUAGUGGAACGUCCUCACGUCCCUCGAUUCGCCCCGCGAACAAUCCCGCGAUCAGUCCCACGAUCUAGUACCGAACGGACGGCACCUCCGCGUUCAGCACACGUACAGCUCGACAAUGAUCUCGGCCUUCUUGAUCCAGCAAGAGAUACGGAGAGGUAGAAGAGUUCUCCGGCAGCGUGACGGCGCUCCGGAGGUUGGUGAUGAUCUUGUCUCAGCAGGGCUCCGCCCGAGCUCCGCAGAAACGCGAUCUAGAGGAAAAACUAUGGAGGUAUGUGGUCGGGCAGCCGUGAGAAAGUUGUCUCAAAUCAGCCCUAAUACCUCCGUAUAUAUAGGUGGGAGGGAGGGGAGGAGGCAGCCUCAAAACCUAAAGGUUUGGCCGAAAUUGGAGGUGGAGGAGUCCUACUCCAAUCCUACUUGGAGUAGGAUUCCACCUUCCCACUUGGAAACUCUUUCCACCUUGUGUUUUUUCCUUCUCAAACCUUAUGGGCCUUAGUGGGAACUUAUUCCAGCCCACUAGGGGCUGGUUUAUCUCUUCCCAUAGCCCAUGAGACCCCUUGGGGCAUGACACCCCUCCCGAUGGCCCCCGGCACCCCUCCCGGCACUCCCGGUACACUACCGAUGAGCCCGAAACUUUUCCGGUAAUGCACGGAAACCUUCCGGUAACCAAAUGAGGUCAUCCUAUAUAUCAAUCUUCGUUUCCGGACCAUUCCGGAAACCCUCGUGACGUCCGUGAUCUCAUCCGGGACUCCGAACAACAUUCGGUAACCAACCAUAUAACUCAAAUACGCAUAAAACAACGUCGAACCUUAAGUGUGCAGACCCUGCGGGUUCGAGAACUAUGUAGACAUGACCCGAGAGACUCCUCGGUCAAUAUCCAAUAGCGGGACCUGGAUGCCCAUAUUGGAUCCUACAUAUUCUACGAAGAUCUUAUCGUUUGAACCUCAGUGCCAAGGAUUCAUAUAAUCCCGUAUGUCAUUCCCUUUGUCCUUCGGUAUGUUACUUGCCCGAGAUUCGAUCGUCAGUAUCCGCAUACCUAUUUCAAUCUCGUUUACCGGCAAGUCUCUUUACUCGUUCUGUAAUACAAGAUCCCGCAACUUACACUAAGUCACAUUGCUUGCAAGGCUUGUGUGUGAUGUUGUAUUACCGAGUGGGCCCCGAGAUACCUCUCCGUCAUACGGAGUGACAAAUCCCAGUCUUGAUCCAUACUAACUCAACGAACACCUUCGGAGAUACCUGUAGAGCAUCUUUAUAGUCACCCAGUUACGUUGCGACGUUUGAUACACACAAAGCAUUCCUCCGGUGUCCGUGAGUUAUAUGAUCUCAUGGUCAUAGGAACAAAUACUUGACACGCAGAAAACAGUAGCAACAAAAUGACACGAUCAACAUGCUACGUCUAUUAGUUUGGGUCUAGUCCAUCACAUGAUUCUCCUAAUGAUGUGAUCCCGUUAUCAAGUGACAACACUUGCCUAUGGCCAGGAAACCUUGACCAUCUUUUGAACAACGAGCUAGUCAACUAGAGGCUUACUAGGGACAGUGUUUUGUCUAUGUAUCCACACAAGUAUUGUGUUUCCAAUCAAUACAAUUAUAGCAUGGAUAAUAAACGAUUAUCAUGAACUAAGAAAUAUAAUAAUAACUAAUUUAUUAUUGCCUCUAGGGCAUAUUUCCAACAUUUCCCUCAGUUUGAGAACCAAGGUAUCGAUCCAGAAGGAGGGCCUCGUCAAGUCCAAAGUACCUGCGCAAACACAAACAAGCUUGAACCCAACGCUUCAAAGGGGUUGUCAAUCCCUUCAAGAUUGUUUGCAAAGUGAGGUCUGAAAGCGGAAAGAGCAACGAAGUAAAAAGUGUAAGGCUGAAAAUAUGGUGUGGAGUAGACCCUGGGGGCCAUAGUGUUCACUAGAGGCUUCUCUCAAAAUAGCAAGUAUUACGAUGGGUGAACAAAUUACUGUCGAGCAAUUGAUAGAACCGCGCAAAGUCAUGACGAUAUCUAAGGCAAUGAUCAUACAUAUAGGCAUCACGUCCGAAACAAGUAGACCGAUACUUUCUGCAUCUACUACUAUUACUCCACACAUCGAGCGCUAUCCAACAUGCAUCUAGUGUAUUGAGUUCAUGACGAACAGAGUAACGCUUUAAGCAAGAUGACAUGAUGUAGCAGGAUAAUCUCAAACCAAUGAUGAAAACCCCAUCUUUUUACCCUUGAUGGCAACAACACGAUGCGUGCCUCGCUACCCCUUCUGUCACUGGGUGAGGUCACCGCACGGUAUGAACCCAAAACCAAGCACUUCUCCCAUUGCAAGAAUCAUAGAUCUAGUUGGCCAGACAAAACCCACAACUCGAAGAGAAUUACAAGGAUAUGAAAUCAUGCAUAAGAGAGAUCAGAAGAAACUCAAAUAAGAUUCAUAGAUAAUCUGAUCAUAAUUCCACAAUUCAUCGGAUCUCGACAAACACACCGCAAAAGAAGAUUACAUCGGAUAGAUCUCCAUGAAGAUCAUGGAGAACUUUGUAUUGAAUAUCCAAGAGAGAGAAGGAGCCAUCUAGUUACUAGCUAUGGACCCGUACGUCUAUGGUGAACUACUCACGCAUCAUCGGAGAGGUCAUGGUGUUGAUGAAGAAGCCCUCCGUGUCCGAAUCCCCCCUCCGGCAGGGCACCAGAACGUGCCCCAGUUGGGAUCUUGCGGAGACAGAAGCUUGCGGCGGUGGAAAAGUAUUUUCGAUGAUCUCCUCAUUUUUUGGGAAUUUUUGGGAAUAUAUAGCCGCAACCCCUAGGUCAGGGGACGGUCAGGGGGCCCACAAGCCUGGAUGGCGCGGCCUCCCCCCUGGCCAUGGGGUGGGGGCUUGUGGGGCCCCUGGGGCUCCCCUGCCUUGGCUCCCAAGCUCCCCGAUCUUCUUCCGUUCCAGAAAAAAUCUUUUCGGGGUUAUUCUUCCGUUUGGACUCCGUUUCAAAAUCUCCUUUGAAAGGGGUCAAAAACAUGGAAAAAACAGGAACUAGCACUUGGUACUGAGUUAAUAAUUAAGUCCCAAAAAAUAAAUAAAAGGCAUGCAAAACAUCCAAAGUUUGACAAGAUGAUGGCAUGAAACCAUCAAAAAUUAUAGAUACAUUGGAGACGUAUCAAGCAUCCCCAAGCUUAACUCCUGCUCGUCCUCGAGUAGGGAAGUGAUAAAGAAUGAAUUUUUGAUGUGGAAUGCUACCUAGCAUAGUUGUCCUUUGCAACUUCUUUCACGUGACAUGAAUGUUCAUAUCCGUACGAUUCAAAACAAUAGUUUGCUAUAGACAUGAAAACAGUAAUACUUCAAGCAAACUAGCAAAGUAAUCAUGAACUUUCAAAAUAACAAGGCCAAGGAAAGUUAUCCCUACAAAAUCAUAUAGUCUGGCUAUGCUCCAUCAUCCUCACACAACUAAUGUAAAUCAUGGACAACCCCGGAAUUGGCCAAGUAAUUGUUUUCGCACUCUUACUUUCUCAAACUUUUUAUAACUAUCACGCAAUACAUGAGCGUGAGCCAUGGAUAUAGCACUAUAGGUGGAAUAGAGUGUGGUGGUGGUUGUGAGACAAAAAAGGAAGACAUGGUCACAUUGACUCGGCGUAUCAAAAGGCUAUGGAGAUGCCCAUUAAUAGACAUCAAUGUGAAUGAGUAGGGAUUGCCAUACAAGAGAUGCACUAGAGCUAUAAGUAUUUGGAAGCUCAAAAGGAAAACUAGUGGGUGUGCAUCCAACUUCCUUGCUCGCGAAGACCUAGGACAAUUUUGACGAAGCCCAUCAUUGGAAUAUACAAGCCAAGUUAUAUAGUGAAGAUUCCCACUAGCAUAUGGUAGUGACAAAGCAAGAAGCUCUCAAUCAUGAAGAACAUGGUGCUAUCAUGAAGCACAAGUGUGGAAAAAGAUAGUAGCAUUGUCCCUUCUCUCUUUUUCUCUCUUUUCUUUUUUUUCAUUUGGGCUCUUAGGCCUCUCUUUUUUCGGGGGGGGGUUUUUUGUUUUGUUUUUGGGAUCUUUGACCUCUUUUUUUUAUUUCCUCACAUGGGACAAUGCUCUAAAAAUGAUGAUCAUCACACUUUUAUUUACUCACAGCUCAAAAUGGUGAUGACUCUAUAGGAAAUGCCUCCGACAAUGUACCGGGAUGUGCAACGAUCUGGCAUGGCGUAUGACAUUGAAACAUCUCGCUAGCUAUCUUACGAUCAUGCAAUGGCAAUAUGAUAGUGACGACACAAGUCAUGAGACGGAACGAUGGUAGUUGCAUGGCAAUAUAUCUCGGAAUGGCUAUGAAAAUGCCAUAGUAGGUAGAUAUGGUGGCUGUUUUGAGGAAGGAAUUUGGUGGGCUUGUGCACCGGCGAGAAUUGCGCGGCACUAGAGAGGCUAGGAAUGGUGGAAGGUGAAAGUGCAUCUAUACCAUGGACUCACAUUAGUCAUGAAAAACUCACAUACUUGUUGCGAAAGUUUUUAUUAGUAAUCGAAACAAAGUGCUAAACGCAUACUCCGAUGGGAAGGGUUGGUAGGUGUAAACCAUCGCGUGAUCCCGACCUCAACACAAAGGAUGACAAUCAAUAGAUCAAUUAUGCUCCGACUUCCUAACAUAGCGGUUCACCAUACGUGCAUGCUACGGGAAUCACUAACUCCAACACAAGUAUCUCUAGAUUCACAACACCCUACUAACAUAACUCUUAAUAUUACCGAAUCCAUGUCUCAAAACUAAUUGAGAGGAAUCGAAACUUCUCUUUCUACUCAAUGCACAUGAAGAUGGAGGUUUUUGCAUCCUCUUUAGGUACCUAGCACAUUUUAGACUACUUUCAUAGCAUAAGCCAACUACCAAAUCACGCACCGCCGUGCUCUAAAGAUAUAAGUGAAGCACUAGAGCAAAAGUAUCUAGCUCAAAAGAUAUAAGUGAAGCACUAGAGCAAAAGUAUCUAGCUCAAAAGAUAUAAGUGAAGCACUAUGAGCAUUCUAGCAAGAUCACGAUGAGUGCAUGUCUCUCUCUCUCAAAAAGGUGUACAGCAUGGAUGAUUGUGACACAACAAAAAGAACAAACUCCUAUGAUACAAGAUGCUCCAAGCAAAACACAUAUCAUGUGGUGAAUAAAAAUAUAGCUCCAAGUAAUGUUACCGAUGGAUUGAAGACGAAAGAGGGGAUGCCUUCCCGGGGCAUCCCCAAGCUUAGGCUUUUCAGUGUCCUUGAAUUUGGCUUGGGAUUCCUUGGGCAUCCCCAAUCCUGAGCUCUUUCCACUCCUUAUCUCAUCGUCCAUGAGAACAUCACCCAAAACUUGAAAACUUCACAACACAAAACUUAAACAGAAACUUGUGAUAACAUUAGCACAAGAAAGCAAACUACCACUUCUUUUGGUACUGUAGCAAACUUGAAUUCUACCCAUAUUGAUUUUGGGCUACUGUAUUCUCACUUUUCCAUGGCUAGUACCCCCCGAUACUAACCAUAGUUUCAUCAAAACAAGCAACCAACUCAACAAAACUAGACCAGUCUGUAGCAAUCUGUAUACUUCGUAUACUUCUGGUAUCCCAAAAAUUCUGAAAAAUUACGACGGCCUGGGAAAGAAGCAUAUAUACCAGAAGAAAAAAUAAUCAACUCAAAAUCUCUUCCCGAAUAAAAAUGAAAAAUCAUCUCGUGAGCGAAAAGUGUUUGUCUUUUUCUAGCAGGAUCAAACAACCAUUACCGAGACUAGUCAUAAAGGUUUUUCUUGGCUCAAACACAAAAAAGAAACACAAAAAACACAAUCACAACAGAAUUAUGAAAGUGUGGACGCAAUAAACAGAAAUAAAAAGAUAAAUUCAUUGGGUUGCCUCCCAACAAGCGUUAUUGUGUAACGCCCUUAGCUAGGCAUAAAAGCGAUAGAAUCACGUAUCGUCAUCUUUGGUGCUCAAAUCAUAAGUGGCGUGAUCACUAAGCAUCUUAAUGUUUUCAUCUUUCUUGCUGGAUGAUUCACCACUACUUUUAGGGACAAAGACAGACUUGGUGAUUUUAUUGUGGGCAAAAUUUGGAGUAUUCUCCACAGCGGCAAAAGCGGAACCCAAGUUGGUUAUAACAUCCUCUAGUUUGCCAAUUCUAGCGGAAUCAUGACCUAGCUUUUCGUUAACUGUGGGUUCCUUCUCCUUUAAACUUUUCAAAACCAUUCCCACCUUGGAUCCGUACUGAGUGAUUUAAUUGUGGAUCUUUUUAUCCAAAUUCUCAAUGGUUUCCAUCGUAGCAACUUUAUUUUCAAUAGUGUCCAGUCUACGCAUCACAUGUUCCAGAGUUAAGGUAGUUCCAUUAAUCAAGAGUGGGGGUGAGCCUACUCAAUUUAUCACAGAUCCGUAAGAAUCAACGGUAUGGCUACCCAAGAAAUUUCCACCUACGAUGGUGUCAAGAAUAUACCUAUUCCAAGGAGAAACACCCACAUAAAAACUGCGAAGCAAUACGGUAGUGGAUUGCUUAUGAGUAGAUCUACUCUGAGCGUCGCAAAUCCUAUACCAAGCGUCCUUUAAGUUUUCUUCCUCAAUUUGUUUGAAAUUGAGGACUUCGCUCUCGGGAGUAUCGUUCGAAGUGGUGGAUCUAGCCAUCAAGAAAGACUAUCCCACACAGACGAGCAGAAAGCAAGCGAGAGAAAAGGGCGAGCGAAAAAGGCGAACGAAAAAGGCAAAUUGGUGAAGUGGGGGAGAGGAAAACGAGAGGCAACUAGCAAACAAAGUAAAUGCAAGAGAUGAGUUUGCGACACCUACUUGGAUGAGUUCUUGACUUAAUCUUCCUCCCCGGCAACGGCGCCAGAAAUUCUUCUGCUGCGGCAACAAAAGUCCUUCCCUGGCGCUUAGGAAUUCUUCUUAUUACUUCUCUGGUUUGCGCCGGUUUUUCCCUUGANNNNNNNNNNNNNNNNNNNNNNNNNNNNNNNNNNNNNNNNNNNNNNNNNNNNNNNNNNNNNNNNNNNNNNNNNNNNNNNNNNNNNNNNNNNNNNNNNNNNGGGGCAGGUGCUCUGCACAUACCGGUGGAGGCAUCGAACUGCGCCCAGAGCUUCUCGCGACACUCGUGGUCGGCGGCGAGGAUGUGCACCCACACCAGCUCCUUGUUCCUGGCCUCAUCCACGGCCUCAAGGAUAGAGUCGCCGAUGCCGAUGCCGAGCACGAGCAGUACCGGGUCGAGGCCGGGGUCCACCAGCGGCACCUGCUCCUUGCGAUCCGCAGCCACAGCUUGAUCGCCCGGACCAAGUCCUCCAGCACCGACAUGCUCACAGUUGAAACGUCAUUUCUCCACAACCAGAACAGACAGAGCGGGGGCAGGGGGAGGCACUCACGGUACGAGGUGAUCUUGGGGAAGCUGCUGCUGCCGUCGUGCGAGGAGGUGUCGGAGUCUGUCGACAUCGCCGCCGCCCACGCGCUGCGCUGGCUAGGGUUGGGACGGGCGACCGUUGUGGCUUGCGGGCGGAGUGCGCUGCACGUGCGGGCUCUCCAUGCGGGGUGUGGCCGGACUCGAGGUCGACUCGGGCGGCGCCAGAGCCAGCGGCGGUUGCGNNNNNNNNNNNNNNNNNNNNNNNNNNNNNNNNNNNNNNNNNNNNNNNNNNNNNNNNNNNNNNNNNNNNNNNNNNNNNNNNNNNNNNNNNNNNNNNNNNNNUGUAUGGCUUAGAACCGGGACUUCAACGUCGCUUUGAGCGUCAUGGAGCAUUUGAGAUGUUCCAGGAGUUGAAGUUUAUCUUUCAGAAGAACGCCCGGAUCGAGAGGUAUGAGACCUCCGAUAAAUUCUAUGCUUGCAAGAUGGAGGAAAACUUGUGUGUCAAUGAACAUGUGCUCAAAAUGUCUGGGUACUCAAACCGUCUAGCUGAGCUGGGGAUUGAACUCCCGCAAGAGGCUAUCACUGACAGAAUCCUUCAAUCACUGCCGCCAAGCUAUAAAGGCUUUGUGUUGAACUACAACAUGCAAGGGAUGAACAAGUCUCCCGGCGAGUUGUUUGCGAUGCUGAAAGUCGCAGAGUCUGAACUCCGUAAAGAGCAUCAAGUGUUGAUGGUGAAUAAGACCACUAGUUUCAAGAGAAACGGCAAAGGCAAGAAGGGUAAUUCCAAGAAGAGCGGCAAGCCUGUUGCCAAUCCGACGAAGAAACCCAAAGCUGGACCUAAGCCUGAAACGGAGUGUUACUAUUGCAAGGGUAUGGGUCACUGGAAGCGCAAUUGCCCCAAGUAUCUGGCAGAUAAGAAGGCGGCCAAAGAAAAAUCAGGUAUAUUUGAUAUACAAGUUAUUGAUGUGUACUUAACUGGCUCUCGUAGUAGUGCCUCGGUAUUCGAUACCGUUUCUGUUGCUCAUAUUUGCAACUCGAAACAGGAACUGCGGAAUAGACGAAGGCUGACGAAAGAUGAAGUGACGAUGCGCGUAGGAAAUGGUUCCAAGGUUGAUGCAAUCGCCGUCGGCAUAGUUUCACUUCAGUUACCAUCAGGAUUAGUGAUGAACUUAAAACAUUGUUAUUUAGUGCCUGCGUUGAGCAUGAACAUUAUAUCUGGAUCUUGUUUAUUGCGAGACGGUUACUCUUUUAAGUCAGAGAAUAAUGGUUGUUCUAUUUCUAUGAGUAACAUCUUUUAUGGUCAUGCACCCAAUGUGAGAGGAUUGUUCAUAUUGAAUCUUGAUAGCGAUACACACAGACAUAACAUUGAGACCAAAAGAGUUAGAGUUAACAAUGAUAGCGCCAUAUUUUUGUGGCACUGCCGCUUAGGUCAUAUUGGUGUAAAGCGCAUGAAUAAACUCCAUGCUGAUGGACUUUUGGAGUCACUUGACUUUGAUUCACUUGACACGUGCGAACCAUGCCUCAUGGGCAAGAUGACUAAGACUCCGUUCUCCGGAACAAUGGAGCGUGCAAGUGACUUGUUGGAAAUCAUACAUACCGAUGUGUGUGGUCCGAUGAGCGUGGAGGCACGCGGCGGAUAUCGUUAUUUUCUCACCUUCACUGACGAUUUGAGUAGAUAUGGUUAUGUCUACUUGAUUAAGCACAAGUCUGAAACAUUUGAAAAGUUCAAACAAUUUCAGACUGAAGUUGAAAAUCAUCGUAACAAGAAGAUCAAAUUCCUAUGGUCUGAUCGUGGGGGUGAAUAUCUGAGUUUCGAGUUUGGUGCUCACUUAAGACAAUGUGGAAUUGUUUCACAGUUGACACCGCCUGGAACACCACAGCGUAAUGGUGUGUCCGAACGUCGUAAUCGUACUUUAUUAGAGAUGGUGCGAUCUAUGAUGUCUCUUACCGAUUUGCCGUUAUCGUUUUGGGGUUAUGCAUUAGAAACAGCUGCAUUCACUUUAAAUAGGGCACCAUCAAAAUCCGUUGAGACGACACCAUACGAACUGUGGUAUGGCAAAAGGACAAAGUUGUCGUUUCUUAAAGUUUGGGGAUGUGAUGCUUAUGUCAAAAAGCUUCAGCCUGAAAAGCUGGAACCCAAAGCGGAAAAGUGCGUCUUCAUAGGUUACCCAAAAGAGACAGUUGGGUACACCUUCUAUCUCAAAUCCGAGGGCAAAGUGUUUGUUGCUAAAAACGGAGCUUUUCUCGAGAAGGAGUUUCUCUAGAGAGAAUUGAGUGGGAGGAAGAACUUGAGGAGGUUGUCGAACCUCUCAUCCCUCUGGAUGGUGGCGCAGGACAAGGGGAAACCUCUGUCGUUGCGACGCCGGUUGAGGUGGAAGUUAAUGAUGAUGAUCAUGAAACUCCGGUUCAAGUUUCUGUCGAACCACGCAGGUCGACGAGACCACGUGCUGCUCCAGAGUGGUACGGUAAUCCCGUCUUGUCAAUCAUGUUGUUGGACAACAAUGAACCUGCAAAUUAUGAAGAAGCAAUGGUGGGCCCGGAUUCCAACAAAUGGCUAGAAGCCAUGAAGUCCGAGAUAGGAUCCAUGUAUGAGAACAAAGUAUGGACUUUGGAGGUACUGCCUGAGGGCCGCAAGGCUAUUUAGAACAAAUGGAUCUUUAAGAGGAAGACGGACGCUGACGGCAAUGUGACCGUUUAUAAAGCUCGACUUGUGGCAAAGGGUUUUUCGCAAGUUCAAGGAGUUGACUACGAUGAGACAUUCUCACCCGUAGCGAUGCUUAAGUCCGUCAGAAUCAUGUUAGCAAUAGCUGCAUUUUUCGAUUAUGAAAUCUGGCAGAUGGAUGUCAAAACGGCGUUCCUUAACGGUUUCCUUAACGAAGAAUUGUAUAUGAUGCAACCCGAAGGUUUUGUCGAUCCUAAGAAUGCUAACAAGGUGUGCAAGCUCCAGCGAUCCAUUUAUGGACUGGUGCAAGCAUCUCGGAGUUGGAACAAGCGCUUUGAUGAGGUGAUCAAAGCAUUUGGGUUUAUACAACUGGUUGGAGAAUCUUGUAUUUACAAGAAAGUGAGUGGGAGCUCUGUGGCGUUUCUAAUAUUAUAUGUGGAUGACAUAUUGCUGAUUGGAAACAACGUAGAGUUUUUGGAGAGCAUAAAGGAUUACUUGAAUAAAAGUUUCUCUAUGAAGGACCUAGGAGAAGCUGCUUACAUUCUAGGCAUUAAGAUCUAUAGGGAUAGAUCAAAAUGCCUGAUAGGACUUUCACAAAGCACAUACCUUGAUAAAGUUUUGAAGAGGUUCAAAAUGGAACAGUCCAAGAAAGGGUUCUUGCCAGUUUUACAAGGUAGGAGAUUGAGUAAGACUCAGUGCCCAGCAACUGAUGAAGAUAGAGAGCAUAUGCGCUCCGUCCCCUAUGCUUCAGCCAUAGGUUCUAUCAUGUAUGCAAUGUUGUGCACUAGACCGGAUGUUAGCCUGGCCAUAAGUAUGGCAGGUAGGUUCCAGAGUAAUCCAGGAGUGGAUCACUGGACAGCGGUCAAGAAUAUCCUGAAGUACCUGAAAAGGACUAAGGAGAUGUUUCUCGUGUAUGGAGGUGACGAAGAGCUCGCCGUAGAAGGUUACGUCGAUGCAAGCUUUGACACAGAUCCGGACGACUCUAAGUCGCAAACCGGAUACGUAUUUAUUCUAAAUGGGGGUGCGGUAAGCUAGUGCAGUUCCAAGCAAAGCGUCGUAGCAGAUUCUACAUGUGAAGCGGAGUACAUGGCUGCCUCGGAGGCGGCUAAGGAGGGUGUCUGGAUGAAACAGUUCAUGACGGAUCUUGGAGUGGUGCCAAGCGCACUGAAUCCAAUAACCUUGUUCUGUGACAACACGGGUGCCAUUGCCUUAGCAAAGGAACCACGGUUUCACAAGAAGACCAGACACAUCAAACGACGCUUCAACCUCAUCCGCGACUACGUCGAGGGAGAGGACGUAAAUAUAUGCAAAGUGCACACGGAUCUGAAUGUAGCAGACCCGCUGACUAAACCUCUUCCACGGCCAAAGCAUGAUCAACACCAGAACUGUAUGGGUGUUAGAUUUAUUACAAUGUAAUUCGCAUGAUGAUGUGAGGGCUAGAUUAUUGACUCUAGUGCAAGUGGGAGACUGUUGGAAUUAUGCCCUAGAGGCAAUAAUAAAUAUAGUUAUUAUUAUAAUUCAUGUAUCAAGAUAAUCGUUUAUUAUCCAUGCUAUAAUUGUAUUGAAUGAAGACUCAUUUACAUGUGUGGAUACAUAGUCAAAACACCGUCCCUAGCAAGCCUCUAGUUGGCUAGCCAGUUGAUCAAAGAUAGUCAGUGUCUUCUGAUUAUGAACAAGGUGUUGUUGCUUGAUAACUGGAUCACGUCAUUAGGAGAAUCACGUGAUGGACUAGACCCAAACUAAUAAACGUAGCAUGUUGAUCGUGUCAUUUUAUUGCUACUGUUUUCUGCGUGUCAAGUAUUUAUUCCUAUGACCAUGAGAUCAUAUAACUCACUGACACCGGAGGAAUGCUUUGUGUGUAUCAAACGUCGCAACGUAACUGGGUGACUAUAAAGAUGCUCUACAGGUAUCUCCGAAGGUGUUAGUUGAGUUAGUAUGGAUCAAGACUGGGAUUUGUCACUCCGUGUGACGAAGAGGUAUCUUGGGGCCCACUCGGUAAUACAACAUCACACACAAGCCUUGCAAGCAAUGUAGCUUAGUGUAAGUUACGGGAUCUUGUAUUACGGAACGAGUAAAGAGACUUGCCGGUAAACGAGAUUGAAAUAGGUAUGCGGAUACUAACGAUCGAAUCUCGGGCAAGUAACAUACCGAAGGACAAAGGGAAUGACACACGGGAUUAUAUGAAUCCUUGGCACUGAGGUUCAAACGAUAAGAUCUUCGUAGAAUAUGUAGGAUCCAAUAUGGGCAUCCAGGUCCCGCUAUUGGAUAUUGACCGAGGAGUCUCUCAGGUCAUGUCUACAUAGUUCUCAAACCCGCAGGGUCUGCACACUUAAGGUUCGACGUUGUUUUAUGCGUAUUUGAGUUAUAUGGUUGGUUACCGAAUGUUGUUCGGAGUCCCGGAUGAGAUCACGGACGUCACGAGGGUAUCCGGAAUGGUCCGGAAACGAAGAUUGAUAUAUAUGAUGACCUCAUUUGAUUACCGGAAAGUUUUUGGAGUUACCGGGAAUGUACCGGGAAUGACGAAUGGGUUCCGGGAGUUCACCGGGGGGGGGGGCAACCCACCCCGGAGAAGUCCAUAGGCCUUAAGGGUGGCGCACCAGCCCUUAGUGGGCUGGUGGGACAGCCCAAAGGGGCCCUAUGCGCCUAGGAAAGAAAAUCAAAGAGAAAAGAAAAAAAAGGAGGAGGUGGGAAGGAAAGGAAGGACUCCCACCCACCAAACCAAGUCCAACUCGGUUUGGGGGGGGAGCCUUCCCCCCUUGGCUCGGCUGACCCCCUUGGGGCUCCUUGAGCCCCAAGGCAAGGUCCCCUCCCUCCCACCUAUAUAUACGGAGGUUUUAGGGCUGAUUUGGGACGACUUUUCCACGGCAGCCCGACCACAUACCUCCAUGGUUUUUCCUCUAGAUCGCGUUUCUGCGGAGCUCGGGCGGAGCCCUGCUGAGACAAGGUCAUCACCAACCUCCGAAGCGCCGUCACGCUGCCGGAGAACUCUUCUACCUCUCCGUCUCUCUUGCUGGAUCAAGAAGGCCGAGAUCAUCGUCGAGCUGUACGUGUGCUGAACGCGGAGGUGCCGUCCGUUCGGUACUAGAUCGUGGGACUGAUCGCGGGAUUGUUCGCGGGGCGGAUCGAGGGACGUGAGGACGUUCCACUACAUCAACCGCGUUCACUAACGCUUUUGCUGUACGAUCUACAAGGGUACGUAGAUCACUCAUCCCCUCUCGUAGAUGGACAUCACCAUGAUAGGUCUUCGUGCGCGUAGGAAAUUUUUUGUUUCCCAUGCGACGUUCCCCAACAAGAACUUCACCCAAAACUUGAAAACUUCACAACAUGAAACUUAAACAGAAACUCGUGAUAACAUUAGUACAAGAAAGCAAACCACCACUUCCUUAGGUACUGUAGUAAACUUAAAUUCUACAUGUGCUGAUAUUGGGUUACUGUAUUUUCAAUUUUCCAUGGCUAAUACCCCCGGAUACUAUCCAUAGUUUCGUCAAAAUAAGCAACCAACACAACAAAAACAGAAUCUAUUAACAGCAUACCAGUCUGUAGCAAUCUGUAUGUUUCGUAUACCUCUGGUACUUCAAAAAUUCUGCAAAUUUACGAAAGUCUGCAGAAUUUGCGUAGCAAUCAGCAGAAAAAAGAAUCAACUCAAAAGCUCCUACAGAAAGAAAAUGAAAAUUCUUUUCGUGAGCAGAAAGUUUCUGUCUUUUCCAGCAUGACCAAACGAUCAUCCCCAAGACUAAUCAUAACGGUUUUGCUUGGCACAAAUGCAAAAAAGAAACACAAAAAACACAAUCAUAACAGAAGUAUGAAAGUGUGGAAAACACAAAACAGAAAGAAAAAGGAUAGAUUCGUUGGCUUGCCUCCCAACAAGCGCUUUUGUUUAACGCCCUUAGCUAGGCGAAAGUGAUGGAAUCACGUAUAGUCAUCUUUGGUGCUCAAACCAUAAGUAGCGUGAUCAUUUAUCAUCUUAAGAUUUUCAUCUUUAUUAGAUGACUCACCACUAGCUCUAGGAACAAAAACAGGCUUGACGGUCUUUUUGAGAGUAAGAUUUGGAGUAUUUUGCACAGCGGCAAAAGCGGAACCCAAGUUGCUUAUGACAUCUUCUAAUUUGCCAAUUCUAGAAGAAUCAUUAACUAUAAGUUCCUUUUCCUUUAAAUUUUUCAAAAAUUUAUUAUUGCCUUGUUAUUUUGAAAGUUCAUGAUUACUUUGCUAGUUUGCUUGAAUUAUUAUUGUUUCCACGUCAAUAGCAAACUAUUGUUUUGAAUCUAAUGGAUUUGAACAUUCACGUCAAAUAAGAGGAAUUACAAAGGACACCUAUGCUAGGUAGCAUGAAAGGAUCAAAAAUUCAUUCUUAUCACUUCCCUACUCGAGGACGAGCAGGAGUUAAGCUUGGGGAUGCUUGAUACGUCUCAAACGUAUCUAUAAUUUUUGAUGGUUUCGCGCUGUUAUCUUGUCUUCUUUGGUUGUUUUAUGUACCUUUUAUAUCUUUUUUGGGACUAACUUAUUAAUUCAGUGCCAAGUGCCAGUUCUUGUUUCUUCCGUGUUUUGGACUCUUUUCAUAUCUGAUUUUGGAACGGGGUCCAAAAGGAAGAAAAACCCCGAAAUGAUUUUUUCCCGAACGGAAGAGUACCAGGGGGCUUUUGGGCCAAGCCAGGUGGGCUCCAGGGAGCCCACAAGCCCCCACUCUGCCACUAGGGGGAGGCGGCGGUGGGCAGGCUUGUGGCCUCCCUGGCCGCCCCCUGACCGAGGUCUUUGGCCUAUAAAUUCCCAAAUAUUCCGCAAAAAAUCAGGGGAGCCUCGAAAAUACUUUUCCGCCGCCGCAAGCUUCCGUUUCCGCGAGAUCUCAUCUGGAGACCCUUCCCGGCACCCUGCCGGAGGGGACUUUGGAGUUGGAGGGCUUCUUCAUCAUCAUCAUCGCCCCUCCAAUGACUCGUGAGUAGUUCACUUCAGACCUACGGGUCCGUAGUUACUAGCUAGAUGGCUUCUUCUCUCUCUUGGAUCUUCAAUACAAAGUUCUCCAUGAUCUUCAUGGAGAUCUAUCCGAUGUAAUCUUCUUUGGCGGUGUGUUUGUCGAGAUCCGAUGAAUUGUGGAUUUGUGAUCAGAUUAUCUAUGAUAUAUAUUUGAGUCUUUGCUGAUUUCUUAUAUGCAUGAUUUGAUAUCCUUGUAAGUCUCUCUGAGUCUUGGGUUUUGUUUGGCCAACUAGAUGCCCUAUUUAAAGUGAAUGUGGUUGUCUCUAAUGUAUAACCCAUAAAUGAUAGUGGUAAUUCGACAAGAGACAUCAUAGUAUGCACCAUAUCAAAUAGGGCGUGGCUAUGACGUUCAGACACAUCAUCACACUAUGGUGUUUCAGGUGGCAUGAAUUGCGAAACAAUUUCACUUUGUCUUAACUACGUACCAAAAACUCGUAACUCAGAUAUUCAUCUCUAUGAUCAUAUCGUACACAGUUUAUCUUCUUGUCACGACGAUCUUCACUCUGAAAUUGCUUUGAACUUUUCAAUAUUUCAGACUUGUGAUCCAUCAAGUAAAUACUCCUGUAUCUACUCAAAUCGUCAGUGAAGUAAGAACAUAACGAUAUCCACUGCAUGCCUUAGCACUCAUUGGACUUCACACAUCAAAAAUGCAUUACUCCCAACAAGUUACUCUCUUGUUUCAUGUGGCAUGUUUUGCAUGUCUCAAGUGAUUCAAAAUCAAGUGAGUAUAAAGAUCCAUCAGCAUGGAGUUUUCUUCAUGCAAUUUUACACCAACAUGACUCAAGCGGCAGUGACACAAGUAAGUGGUACUAUCAUCAUUACCUUGUAUCUUUUGGCACCAAUAUCAUGAACAUGUGUAACACUACGAUCGAGAUUCAAUAAACCAUUGAAGGUGAUUAUUCAAGCAAAUAGAGUAACCAUUAUUCUCUUUAAAUGAAUAAUCGUAUUGCAAUAAACACGAUCCAAUCAUGUUCAUGCUCAACGCAAGCACCAAAUAAAAAUUACUUAGGUUUAACACCAAUCCCGAUGGUAGAGGAGCGUGCGAUGUUUGAUCACAUCAACCUUGGAUACACUUCCAACACGUAUCGUCACCUCGCCUUUUAGCUAGUCUCUGUUUAUUCCGUAGCUUUCAUUUCGAGUUACUAAUAACUUAGCAACCAAACCGGUAUCCAAUACCCUCGCACUACUAGGAGUACUACUAAAGUACACAUUAAUAUCAUGUAUAUCAAAUAUACUUUUGUCGACUUAGCCAGCCUUCUUAUCUACCAAGUAUCUAGGGUAGCUCCGCCUUAGUGACCGUUCCCCUCAUAACAGAAGCACUUACUCUGGGGUUUGGGUUCAAUCUUGGGUUUCAUUAAAACAGCAACUGGUUUGCCGUUUCAUGAUAUCCCUUUUAGCCCUUGCCUUUCUUGAAACUUUAGUGGUUUUACUAACCAUCAACUAUUGAUGCUCCUUCUUGAUUUCUACUUUCGCAGUAUCAAACAUCGUGAAUUUCUCAAGGAUCAUUGUAUCUAUCCUUGACAUGUUAUAGUUCAUGACGAAGCUCUCACAGCUUGGUGGCAGUGACUUUGGAGAGCCAUCACUAUCUCAUCUGGAAGAUCAACUCCCACUUGAUUCAAUCGAUUGUCGUACUCAGACAAUCUGAGCACAUGCUCAACAAUUGAGCUUUUCUCCUUUACUUUGUGGACAAAGAAUCUUGUCGGAGGUCUCAUACCUCUCAAUAAGGGCACGAGCAUGAAAUCUCAAUUUCAUCUCUUUAGAACAUCUCUUAUGUUCCGUGACGUAUAAAAAUGUCUUCGGUGCCUUGCUUCUAAGCCAUUAAGUAUUUAUGCACUGAACUAUCGCGUAGUUAUCAAAAACGCGUAUGUCGGAUGUUCACAACAUCCACAAAUGAUGCUCGAGGUGCAGCACACCGAGUGGUGCAUUAAGGACAUAAGCCUUCUGCGCAACAAUGAGGACAAUCCUCAGUUUUACGGACUCAGUCCACAAAGUUUCUACUAUCAACUUUCAACUAAACUUUCUCUAGGAACAUAUAAAAACUGUAGAGCUAUAGCGCAAGCCACAUCAUAAUUCGUAAAGACCUUUUGACUAUGUUUAUGACAACCAGAGUUUAACUAAUCAAAUUAACUUUAAACUCCCACUCAAAAAGUACAUCUCUCUAGUCAUUUGAGUGGUACAUGAUCCAAAUCCACUAUCUCAAGUCCGAUCAUCACGUGAGUUGAGAGUAGUUUCAGUGGUAAGCACCUCUAUGCUAAUCAUAUCCACUAUACGAUUCAUGCUUGACCUUUCGGCCUCAUGUGUUCCGAGGCCAUGUCUGCACAUGCUAGGCUCGUCAAGUUUAACUCGAGUGUUCUGCGCGUGCAACUGUUUUGCACCCGUUGUAUGUGGACGUUGAGUCUAUCACACCCGAUCAUCACAUGGUGUCUCGAAACGACGAACUGUCGCAAGGGUGCACAAUCGGGGAGAACACAAUUUGAGCUUGAAAUUUUAGUGAGAGAUCACCUCAUAAUGCUACCGUCGUUCUAAGCAAAAUAAGGUGCAUAAAAGGAUUAACAUCACAUGCAAUUCAUAAGUGACAUGAUAUGGCCAUCAUCACGUGCUUCUUGAUCUCCAUCACCAAAGCACCGGCACGAUCUUCUUGUCACCGGCGCCACACCAUGAUCAUCCAUCAACGUGUUGCCAUCGGGGUUGUCGUGCUACUUAUGCUAUUACUACUAAAGCUACAUCCUAGCAAAAUAGUAAACGCAUCUGCAAGCACAAACGUUAGUAUAAAGACAACCCUAUGGCUCCUGCCGGUUGCCGUACCAUCGACGUGCAAGUCGAUAUUUCUAUUACAACAUGAUCAUCUCAUACAUCCAAUAUAUCACAUCACAUCGUUGGCCAUAUCACAUCACAAUCAUACCGUGCAAAAACAAGUUAGACGUCCUCUAAUUUUGUUGUUGCAUGUUUUACGUGGUGACCGAGGGUAUCUAGUAGGAUCGCAUCUUACUUACGCAAACACCACAACGGAGAUAUAUGAGUUGCUAUUUAACCUCAUCCAAGGACCUCCUCGGUCAAAUCCAAUUCAACUAAAGUUGGAGAAAUAGUCACUUGCCAGUCAUCUUUGAGCAAAGAGGGUUACUCGUAACGAUGAAACCAGUCUCUCGUAAGCGUACGAGUAAUGUCGGUCCAAGCCGCUUCAAUCCAACAAUACCGCGGAAUCAAGAAAAGACUAAGGAGGGCAGCAAAACGCACAUCACCGCCCACAAAACCUUUUGUGUUCUACUCGAGAAGACAUCUACGCAUGAACCUAGCUCUGAUACCACUGUUGGGGAACGUCACAUGGGAAACAAAAUUUUCCUACGCGCACGAAGACCUAUCAUGGUGAUGUCCAUCUACGAGAGGGGAUGAGUGAUCUACGUACCCUUGUAGAUCGUACAGCAGAAGCGAUUAGAGAUCGCGGUUGAUGUAGUGGAACGUCCUCACGUCCCUCGAUUCGCCCCGCGAACAAUCCCGCGAUCAGUCCCACGAUCUAGUACCGAACGGACGGCACCUCCGCGUUCAGCACACGUACAGCUCGACAAUGAUCUCGGCCUUCUUGAUCCAGCAAGAGAUACGGAGAGGUAGAAGAGUUCUCCGGCAGCGUGACGGCGCUCCGGAGGUUGGUGAUGAUCUUGUCUCAGCAGGGCUCCGCCCGAGCUCCGCAGAAACGCGAUCUAGAGGAAAAACUAUGGAGGUAUGUGGUCGGGCAGCCGUGAGAAAGUUGUCUCAAAUCAGCCCUAAUACCUCCGUAUAUAUAGGUGGGAGGGAGGGGAGGAGGCAGCCUCAAAACCUAAAGGUUUGGCCGAAAUUGGAGGUGGAGGAGUCCUACUCCAAUCCUACUUGGAGUAGGAUUCCACCUUCCCACUUGGAAACUCUUUCCACCUUGUGUUUUUUCCUUCUCAAACCUUAUGGGCCUUAGUGGGAACUUAUUCCAGCCCACUAGGGGCUGGUUUAUCUCUUCCCAUAGCCCAUGAGACCCCUUGGGGCAUGACACCCCUCCCGAUGGCCCCCGGCACCCCUCCCGGCACUCCCGCUACACUACCGAUGAGCCCGAAACUUUUNNNNNNNNNNNNNNNNNNNNNNNNNNNNNNNNNNNNNNNNNNNNNNNNNNNNNNNNNNNNNNNNNNNNNNNNNNNNNNNNNNNNNNNNNNNNNNNNNNNNUCAAGGGAAAAACCGGCGCAAACCAGAGAAGUAAUAAGAAGAAUUCCUAAGCGCCAGGGAAGGACUUUUGUUGCCGCAGCAGAAGAAUUUCUGGCGCCGUUGCCGGGGAGGAAGAUUAAGUCAAGAACUCAUCCAAGUAGGUGUCGCAAACUCAUCUCUUGCAUUUACUUUGUUUGCUAGUUGCCUCUCGUUUUCCUCUCCCCCACUUCACCAAUUUGCCUUUUUCGUUCGCCUUUUUCGCUCGCCCUUUUCUCUCGCUUGCUUUCUGCUCGUCUGUGUGGGAUAGUCUUUCUUGAUGGCUAGAUCCACCACUUCGAACGAUACUCCCGAGAGCGAAGUCCUCAAUUUCAAACAAAUUGAGGAAGAAAACUUAAAGGACGCUUGGUAUAGGAUUUGCGACGCUCAGAGUAGAUCUACUCAUAAGCAAUCCACUACCGUAUUGCUUCGCAGUUUUUAUGUGGGUGUUUCUCCUUGGAAUAGGUAUAUUCUUGACACCAUCGUAGGUGGAAAUUUCUUGGGUAGCCAUACCGUUGAUUCUUACGGAUCUGUGAUAAAUUGAGUAGGCUCACCCCCACUCUUGAUUAAUGGAACUACCUUAACUCUGGAACAUGUGAUGCGUAGACUGGACACUAUUGAAAAUAAAGUUGCUACGAUGGAAACCAUUGAGAAUUUGGAUAAAAAGAUCCACAAUUAAAUCACUCAGUACGGAUCCAAGGUGGGAAUGGUUUUGAAAAGUUUAAAGGAGAAGGAACCCACAGUUAACGAAAAGCUAGGUCAUGAUUCCGCUAGAAUUGGCAAACUAGAGGAUGUUAUAACCAACUUGGGUUCCGCUUUUGCCGCUGUGGAGAAUACUCCAAAUUUUGCCCACAAUAAAAUCACCAAGUCUGUCUUUGUCCCUAAAAGUAGUGGUGAAUCAUCCAGCAAGAAAGAUGAAAACAUUAAGAUGCUUAGUGAUCACGCCACUUAUGAUUUGAGCACCAAAGAUGACGAUACGUGAUUCUAUCGCUUUUAUGCCUAGCUAAGGGCGUUACACAAUAACGCUUGUUGGGAGGCAACCCAAUGAAUUUAUCUUUUUAUUUCUGUUUAUUGCGUCCACACUUUCAUAAUUCUGUUGUGAUUGUGUUUUUUGUGUUUCUUUUUUGUGUUUGAGCCAAGAAAAACCUUUAUGACUAGUCUCGGUAAUGGUUGUUUGAUCCUGCUAGAAAAAGACAAACACUUUUCGCUCACGAGAUGAUUUUUCAUUUUUAUUCGGGAAGAGAUUUUGAGUUGAUUAUUUUUUCUUCUGGUAUAUAUGCUUCUUUCCCAGGCCGUCGUAAUUUUUCAGAAUUUUUGGGAUACCAGAAGUAUACGAAGUAUACAGAUUGCUACAGACUGGUCUAGUUUUGUUGAGUUGGUUGCUUGUUUUGAUGAAACUAUGGUUAGUAUCGGGGGGUACUAGCCAUGGAAAAGUGAGAAUACAGUAGCCCAAAAUCAAUAUGGGUAGAAUUCAAGUUUGCUACAGUACCAAAAGAAGUGGUAGUUUGCUUUCUUGUGCUAAUGUUAUCACAAGUUUCUGUUUAAGUUUUGUGUUGUGAAGUUUUCAAGUUUUGGGUGAUGUUCUCAUGGACGAUGAGAUAAGGAGUGGAAAGAGCUCAGGAUUGGGGAUGCCCAAGGAAUCCCAAGCCAAAUUCAAGGACACUGAAAAGCCUAAGCUUGGGGAUGCCCCGGGAAGGCAUCCCCUCUUUCGUCUUCAAUCCAUCGGUAACAUUACUUGGAGCUAUAUUUUUAUUCACCACAUGAUAUGUGUUUUGCUUGGAGCAUCUUGUAUCAUAGGAGUUUGUUCUUUUUGUUGUGUCACAAUCAUCCAUGCUGUACACCUUUUUGAGAGAGAGAGACAUGCACUCAUCGUGAUCUUGCUAGAAUGCUCAUAGUGCUUCACUUAUAUCUUUUGAGCUAGAUACUUUUGCUCUAGUGCUUCACUUAUAUCUUUUGAGCUAGAUACUUUUGCUCUAGUGCUUCACUUAUAUCUUUAGAGCACGGCGGUGCGUGAUUUGGUAGUUGGCUUAUGCUAUGAAAGUAGUCUAAAAUGUGCUAGGUACCUAAAGAGGAUGCAAAAACCUCCAUCUUCAUGUGCAUUGAGUAGAAAGAGAAGUUUCGAUUCCUCUCAAUUAGUUUUGAGACAUGGAUUCGGUAAUAUUAAGAGUUAUGUUAGUAGGGUGUUGUGAAUCUAGAGAUACUUGUGUUGGAGUUAGUGAUUCCCGUAGCAUGCACGUAUGGUGAACCGCUAUGUUAGGAAGUCGGAGCAUAAUUGAUCUAUUGAUUGUCAUCCUUUGUGUUGAGGUCGGGAUCACGCGAUGGUUUACACCUACCAACCCUUCCCAUCGGAGUAUGCGUUUAGCACUUUGUUUCGAUUACUAAUAAAAACUUUCGCAACAAGUAUGUGAGUUUUUCAUGACUAAUGUGAGUCCAUGGUAUAGAUGCACUUUCACCUUCCACCAUUCCUAGCCUCUCUAGUGCCGCGCAAUUCUCGCCGGUGCACAAGCCCACCAAAUUCCUUCCUCAAAACAGCCACCAUAUCUACCUACUAUGGCAUUUUCAUAGCCAUUCCGAGAUAUAUUGCCAUGCAACUACCAUCGUUCCGUCUCAUGACUUGUGUCGUCACUAUCAUAUUGCCAUUGCAUGAUCGUAAGAUAGCUAGCGAGAUGUUUCAAUGUCAUACGCCAUGCCAGAUCGUUGCACAUCCCGGUACAUUGUCGGAGGCAUUUCCUAUAGAGUCAUCACCAUUUUGAGCUGUGAGUAAAUAAAAGUGUGAUGAUCAUCAUUUUUAGAGCAUUGUCCCAUGUGAGGAAAUAAAAAAAAGAGGUCAAAGAUCCCAAAAACAAAACAAAAAAGAGAAAAGAAAAAAGAGAGGCCUAAGAGCCCAAAUGAAAAAAAGAAAAGAGAGAAAAAGAGAGAAGGGACAAUGCUACUAUCUUUUUCCACACUUGUGCUUCAUGAUAGCACCAUGUUCUUCAUGAUUGAGAGCUUCUUGCUUUGUCACUACCAUAUGCUAGUGGGAAUCUUCACUAUAUAACUUGGCUUGUAUAUUCCAAUGAUGGGCUUCGUCAAAAUUGUCCUAGGUCUUCGCGAGCAAGGAAGUUGGAUGCACACCCACUAGUUUUCCUUUUGAGCUUCCAAAUACUUAUAGCUCUAGUGCAUCUCUUGUAUGGCAAUCCCUACUCAUUCACAUUGAUGUCUAUUAAUGGGCAUCUCCAUAGCCUUUUGAUACGCCGAGUCAAUGUGACCAUGUCUUCCUUUUUUGUCUCACAACCACCACCACACUCUAUUCCACCUAUAGUGCUAUAUCCAUGGCUCACGCUCAUGUAUUGCGUGAUAGUUAUAAAAAGUUUGAGAAAGUAAGAGUGCGAAAACAAUUACUUGGCCAAUUCCGGGGUUGUCCAUGAUUUACAUUAGUUGUGUGAGGAUGAUGGAGCAUAGCCAGACUAUAUGAUUUUGUAGGGAUAACUUUCCUUGGCCUUGUUAUUUUGAAAGUUCAUGAUUACUUUGCUAGUUUGCUUGAAGUAUUACUGUUUUCAUGUCUAUAGCAAACUAUUGUUUUGAAUCGUACGGAUAUGAACAUUCAUGUCACGUGAAAGAAGUUGCAAAGGACAACUAUGCUAGGUAGCAUUCCACAUCAAAAAUUCAUUCUUUAUCACUUCCCUACUCGAGGACGAGCAGGAGUUAAGCUUGGGGAUGCUUGAUACGUCUCCAAUGUAUCUAUAAUUUUUGAUGGUUUCAUGCCAUCAUCUUGUCAAACUUUGGAUGUUUUGCAUGCCUUUUAUUUAUUUUUUGGGACUUAAUUAUUAACUCAGUACCAAGUGCUAGUUCCUGUUUUUUCCAUGUUUUUGACCCCUUUCAAAGGAGAUUUUGAAACGGAGUCCAAACGGAAGAAUAACCCCGAAAAGAUUUUUUCUGGAACGGAAGAAGAUCGGGGAGCUUGGGAGCCAAGGCAGGGGAGCCCCAGGGGCCCCACAAGCCCCCACCCCAUGGCCAGGGGGGAGGCCGCGCCAUCCAGGCUUGUGGGCCCCCUGACCGUCCCCUGACCUAGGGGUUGCGGCUAUAUAUUCCCAAAAAUUCCCAAAAAAUGAGGAGAUCAUCGAAAAUACUUUUCCACCGCCGCAAGCUUCUGUCUCCGCAAGAUCCCAACUGGGGCACGUUCUGGUGCCCUGCCGGAGGGGGGAUUCGGACACGGAGGGCUUCUUCAUCAACACCAUGACCUCUCCGAUGAUGCGUGAGUAGUUCACCAUAGACGUACGGGUCCAUAGCUAGUAACUAGAUGGCUCCUUCUCUCUCUUGGAUAUUCAAUACAAAGUUCUCCAUGAUCUUCAUGGAGAUCUAUCCGAUGUAAUCUUCUUUUGCGGUGUGUUUGUCGAGAUCCGAUGAAUUGUGGAAUUAUGAUCAGAUUAUCUAUGAAUCUUAUUUGAGUUUCUUCUGAUCUCUCUUAUGCAUGAUUUCAUAUCCUUGUAAUUCUCUUCGAGUUGUGGGUUUUGUCUGGCCAACUAGAUCUAUGAUUCUUGCAAUGGGAGAAGUGCUUGGUUUUGGGUUCAUACCGUGCGGUGACCUCACCCAGUGACAGAAGGGGUAGCGAGGCACGCAUCGUGUUGUUGCCAUCAAGGGUAAAAAGAUGGGGUUUUCAUCAUUGGUUUGAGAUUAUCCUGCUACAUCAUGUCAUCUUGCUUAAAGCGUUACUCUGUUCGUCAUGAACUCAAUACACUAGAUGCAUGUUGGAUAGCGCUCGAUGUGUGGAGUAAUAGUAGUAGAUGCAGAAAGUAUCGGUCUACUUGUUUCGGACGUGAUGCCUAUAUGUAUGAUCAUUGCCUUAGAUAUCGUCAUGACUUUGCGCGGUUCUAUCAAUUGCUCGACAGUAAUUUGUUCACCCAUCGUAAUACUUGCUAUUUUGAGAGAAGCCUCUAGUGAACACUAUGGCCCCCAGGGUCUACUCCACACCAUAUUUUCAGCCUUACACUUUUUACUUCGUUGCUCUUUCCGCUUUCAGACCUCACUUUGCAAACAAUCUUGAAGGGAUUGACAACCCCUUUGAAGCGUUGGGUUCAAGCUUGUUUGUGUUUGCGCAGGUACUUUGGACUUGACGAGGCCCUCCUUCUGGAUCGAUACCUUGGUUCUCAAACUGAGGGAAAUGUUGGAAAUAUGCCCUAGAGGCAAUAAUAAAUUAGUUAUUAUUAUAUUUCUUAGUUCAUGAUAAUCGUUUAUUAUCCAUGCUAUAAUUGUAUUGAUUGGAAACACAAUACUUGUGUGGAUACAUAGACAAAACACUGUCCCUAGUAAGCCUCUAGUUGACUAGCUCGUUGUUCAAAAGAUGGUCAAGGUUUCCUGGCCAUAGGCAAGUGUUGUCACUUGAUAACGGGAUCACAUCAUUAGGAGAAUCAUGUGAUGGACUAGACCCAAACUAAUAGACGUAGCAUGUUGAUCGUGUCAUUUUGUUGCUACUGUUUUCUGCGUGUCAAGUAUUUGUUCCUAUGACCAUGAGAUCAUAUAACUCACGGACACCGGAGGAAUGCUUUGUGUGUAUCAAACGUCGCAACGUAACUGGGUGACUAUAAAGAUGCUCUACAGGUAUCUCCGAAGGUGUUCAUUGAGUUAGUAUGGAUCAAGACUGGGAUUUGUCACUCCAUAUGACGGAGAGGUAUCUCGGGGCCCACUCGGUAAUACAACAUCACACACAAGCCUUGCAAGCAAUGUGACUUAGUGUAAGUUGCGGGAUCUUGUAUUACAGAACGAGUAAAGAGACUUGCCGGUAAACGAGAUUGAAAUAGGUAUGCGGAUACUGACGAUCGAAUCUCGGGCAAGUAACAUACCGAAGGACAAAGGGAAUGACAUACGGGAUUAUAUGAAUCCUUGGCACUGAGGUUCAAACGAUAAGAUCUUCGUAGAAUAUGUAGGAUCCAAUAUGGGCAUCCAGGUCCCGCUAUUGGAUAUUGACCGAGGAGUCUCUCGGGUCAUGUCUACAUAGUUCUCGAACCCGCAGGGUCUACACACUUAAGGUUCGAUGAUGUUUUAAGCGUAUUUGAGUUAUAGGUGUUGGUAAUCGAAAGUUUUUUAGAGUCCCGGAUGAGAUCCAGGACGUCACGAGUAGCUCCGGAAUGGUCGGGAGGUAAAGAUUGAUAUAUAGGAAGUCCUGUUUUGGUCACCGGAAAAGUUUCACGCUCAUCGGUAGUGUACCGGGAGUGCCGGAAGGGGUGCCCGGGACCAUCGGGAGGGUUGUCAUGCCCCAAGGGUCUUAUGGGCUAUGGGAAGAUAUAAACCAGCCCCUAGUGGGCUGAAAUAAGUUCCCGCUAAGGCCCAGAAGGUUUGAGAAGGAAAAAACACAAGGUGGAAAGAGUUUCCAAGUGGGAAGGUGGAAUCCUACUCCAAGUAGGAUUGGAGUAGGACUCCUCCACCUCCAAUUUCGGCCAAACCUUGAGGGUUUGAGGCUGCCUCCUCCCCUCCCACCCUCCUAUAUAUACUAGAGGUAUUGAGGGUUUUUGAGACACAACUUUGCCACGUGCUACUCGACCCUAUACCAUGCGUUUUUUCCUCUAGAUCGUAUUUCUGCAGAGCUUGGGCGGAGCCCUGCUGGAAUAGAUCAUCACCAACCUCCGGAGCGCCGUCACGCUACCGGAGAACUCAUCUACCUCUCUGUCUCUCUUGCUGGAUCAAGAAGGCCGAGAUCAUCGUCGUGUUGUACGUGUGCUGGACGCGGAGGUGCCGUUCGUUCGGCACUAGAUCGGGAAGGAUCAUGAUGAGAUCGCGGGACGGAUCGUGAUGAAGUUCGCGGGACGGAUCGUGAUGGUAUCGUGGGACGAAGAGUACGACUACGGUGGUUUGAAUCACGCAAGUUNNNNNNNNNNNNNNNNNNNNNNNNNNNNNNNNNNNNNNNNNNNNNNNNNNNNNNNNNNNNNNNNNNNNNNNNNNNNNNNNNNNNNNNNNNNNNNNNNNNNAACAAUUGGAAAAAGUGAAUGGCUUCAACUCGACUUGUUGGUACAAACCGCCUGCAAAGUUCCGUGAGUUUUGACUCUGAUGCCGCUUAGGUUCCGACAACGUCUUGUCUAAGGAAACCAACAAACUUGAUCACAUUCUCAUGGAGGGUGUUCCAUAUAUGUUGAAGAGAGCACACAGUGCGGUCGCUAAUGAUUGGAUGUGGUGUCAGAUAUGUUUUUUCUAUUGGUAAUUUUUUUGAUAUUUUUCAAAUAUUUAAGGCCUUUUUGCUCUGUUCCACGUACGUGAUCCAUGCUAGUUGUCAACCAACAAAGCAACUUCGAACUAGGUGAAUGCCAGACCUCUUAGCUUCACUGUCUUCUUAUUUUUAGUGUGUGGUGUUUGCCCUGCUUCAAACAUAAGGGAAUUGGUAUCCCCCAUGUUAAAUUGCAAAGGUUCUUCCCCAUCAUUUAUCAUGUUUAGCAUCCUUUGGUCCUAUAAUAUGCAUCGCAAUUAAAUUAUCAUCCUACAAGUUUGAUCGAAUGGUAUGGACAACAAAUGAAUCAACAAAUCGCAAAUGUCAUAGCGAAAAAGAAGGUACCGGGUCUUGUUGGGACAUUUUGUCCAACGACAUGUGGGCAUGCACGACACAGGCCUUACUCGAUAUUGCUUCAUGCCUUCGGAGUUACUACGACCAGCCAUCGUGCCCACGGUGGUGACGUCUUCCGGAAAACUAUCCGAGAUGUCCGACCAUUGGAAGGCUGGAAUGAACUCGGGUUAUUGCCGGCGACUUGUUUAUCCGCACAACCACGACACAUAGAUUGGUUGGUGUCGCGAAGCCACUUGUGCCAAAGUCCAUGUCAUCAUCAUCGUGCAUCUCCGCGUCGUCCCUCCUCGCGCUCGCGCUGCUUUCGACAUCGCACCAUCCGAGCGAUAUUCUCCGCCUUGCAGUUGACCGCCACGGUCUGGAUCCCCACUGAUUCUGCCGAGGUAUCAUCCAUGCCGAUGGCGGCACACAUGGUAGUCGGCGACGACAUCAGCAACAACGAACGACGAUGGCGGUGGGAAGGGUGGGUAAAGGAGAAGGAGGUGGGCGGCUGCACAAAGGCGAGAAAUGAAGGACCAAUGGAGGAGAAAUGCGGUUGAACUGGUGGACUAGUGAAUUUUAGAUAGGAUUAGGAUUGGGUCCGGUUUAUCCGAACCGGCAUGAUAAAAUCAUCGGUUGUUCCAUAUCGAUCCAGAUAUGAAUCAAUCAGAUAUGAAGAGUGUCGGUCAGUUCGAGUGUUUUGACCGACUUUAUCAUGUUCGAUUGGGUGAAAGGUUUCUGUCCGGGCAGCGACCGUCCAAACGUUUGGACUUGGACGGACACAGGGCUCCGGGUGUAGCCGCUCUGAUCAGCGUUCGUGUUGCCCUAACAACAUGUGCCAUGUUUACUGACCUGUACUCCAUCGACCACAUGUGUGUGAAAGACCAACAUGUGCUUUGUUUACUGCCUCGUGCUCUUCCCCUCCCGUUUCUAUUAUAACCGCGCCCCCGCACGCCUACGCUCUCCUCUCUUCUGCUCUGCUCUGCUCCCCUUUCCCCCCUCCCUCCCUCCCUCCCUCGUCGGGGCCCUGAGCACUAGCUUAGGUAUGUUGGUGCAGCAGCGGAAGCCUUUGCUCUUCCACCACUCCAUCUCCAUCUCCAUCUCCAUCCACCACGAGCAGGAGCUGGACCUCUCCCCGUCGCCGCUGCCUUUUCCCUCCUCCUCUGCGCUCCUAGGUUAAGAAGAGGAGGUGCUUUUCAAAGGAGAGAGCAAAAGAGAAAGUCCUUGCAUACCCCAACAAGGCAACCCGCCACUGCCUUUUUCUCCCCCUCCCCCCUCUCUCUUCCCUCCUCUGCUUUCUUGUUAUCUUCAACCCCAGCCAACGAGAGCAGAGCCGAGCCGAGCCGAGCCGAACAGAGAGAGAGGCCGAUAGGGGUGGACCGAAGAACCGGACGGCAAGAAGGUAGGAGGAGUGAGGAAGGGAAGGGAAGGGAAGGACGGCCGGCAUGUGGGAUCUCAACGACUCGCCGGCGGCCGAGGGGCCGCCGCUGUCCCCGUCCGUGGACGACUCCGGCGCCUCCUCCUCGUCUGCCGCCGCGGUGGUCGAGAUACCCGACGACGCCGAGGACGACUCCGCCGAGGCCGUCGUCACGCGCCAGUUCUUCCCCCCGGCCGCCCCGGGCGAGGGCGGCCCCGGCAACGGGAACGACCGCGCCGCGUGGCUCCGCCUGGCCGGCGCCCCCGCGCCCACCGUGGCCGCGGCCGCCGGAGGAGGANNNNNNNN
rnacentral:lncRNA from 1 species